rnacentral:lncRNA from 1 species
CUCAUGUUGUUCGGAUGGCUUGGUGAUGGGGGCUAGUUUUAUGGCUUCCCCAUUGGAGGGUGUCCUGGAUAGUGACCAUAAGGUGGCUCAUACACCGGUGGUUUCUUAGGAGGUUCAUAUACUGGUGGCUUCUUCGGAGGUUCGUAAACCGGUGGUUUGGGCUCUGGCUUCUCUUUCUUCGGAGGUUCAUAAACUGGUGGUUUUGGUGGCUUAGGUUCAUAUACUGGUGGUUUUGGUGGCUUAGGUUCAUACACUGGAGGCUUCUUUGGAGGCUCAUAUACUGGUGGUUUGGGUUCUGGCUUCUCUUUCUUUGGAGGUUCAUAAACUGGUGGCUUUGGUGGCUUAGGCUCAUAAACUGGUGGCUUUGGUGGCUUAGGUUCAUAUACUGGUGGUUUCUUUGGAGGCUCAUACACCGGAGGCUUCUUUGGAGGCUCAUAAACUGGUGGCUUUGGUGGCUUAGGUUCAUAAACUGGUGGCUUAGGUUCAUAUACUGGUGGCUUUGGUGGCUUAGGCUCAUAAACUGGUGGCUUUGGUGGCUUAGGUUCAUAAACUGGCGGUUUCUUUGGAGGCUCAUACACCGGAGGCUUCUUUGGAGGCUCAUAUACUGGUGGUUUGGGUUCUGGCUUUGGAGGCUUAGGUUCAUAUACUGGUGGUUUCUUUGGAGGCUCAUAAACUGGUGGCUUUGGUGGCUUAGGCUCAUAAACUGGUGGCUUUGGAGGCUUAGGUUCAUAAACUGGCGGUUUCUUUGGAGGCUCAUACACCGGUGGUUUCUUGGGAGGUUCAUAAACUGGUGGUUUGGGUUCUGGCUUUUCCUUCUUUGGAGGUUCGUAAACCGGUGGCUUGGGCUCCGGCUUCUCCUUCUUUGGGGGUUCAUAGACAGGGGGUUGGGGUUCUGGCUUCUUUGGAGGUUCGUAAACUGGUGGUGGUUUGUAAAUUGGGGGUGGCUUCACCUCGGGAGGUUUGUAAACAGGAGUAGGUGGUUUCCCAUAGCCGGGUAACUCGUAGGUACCAAGGGAGGGAGUGGCGAGAACCACCACUCCCAGGAGCAGUACUAGUAAGUGUGUAAGAGACAUCUUGGAGCUCUGGCUUUCGAUAGGGCAACUCGAAGCCCUCCUUUUAUAGUGGUAAAGGAGCCUUUUGGUUAGUCCAGGUGUCAAAAUUUCUCUCGUUUCAUACCUUACGAAAUAGUGAGCUAGCUAGAUUUGUAAAUAUUUGAGUAAUUCAUAAAUGUGAUAGGGUCCAUUUGGGUCCCACUUAGUCGAAAUUUUGGACUAUGAAUUACAAGGCCUUAUUCAUGAUUGAAGAAGAUUGGCAGUGUGGCUAUUAAAGAAGAUUGGCAGUGUGGUUCUUUUGGCGGUGACUAUUCCUUCUCUUUCCAUAAAGUAAUAGUUAGCGUCACUCUUUUCAUCUUUUUCAUUUAUGAAACAUGCUUUUUCUUUUCCUGCUAAAAGAAGCAAUAGAAUGGCACGAAAUUCUCCUUUAUAUCUGCUCAGCAACUCUUUCCUAACAAAUAUAAGAAGCUCAAGGCGUGAAAAUAUCUCAAGAGACUGAAAGUGAAGAGCGUUUCUAUAAACAAUGCCUCAGGAUAAAGUUGCAAAAAAAUUGCAGGACUGCACAUCUUCUAGUAUCACAAUAGGUGUUCAUCAAGGAAAACUUUUUACUCCAAUUGGUAUGAUAUUUACUGUUUUCAUGUCCUGUAAAGUCUUGGUUGCUACAAUAAAUAUAGUAGAAGUGUUUGAUGACAGCAAAUUUCCUUCUGGACUGCAAACAUUGUUACUAAUUUCAAAUGUAAUGCCACAGCUAUAAAAAAUAAAAAUAAAAUAAAAAAAGCGAAGCCCAGAUGAGAAGGUUGGUACCUUCCGCUUGCAUGUUCUAAGUUUUGCUUGAGGGAGAUUAUUUUGGCUAAAAUCUAACAACAUUGUUGCCAAAAGGCAACUUCAUUAUUGGUGGAAGCCUUUGCAGUCCUGUUGGGAAAUUUACACGAAUGCAGCACUCACCUCUUUGCUUGUUUCCAUAGUUAACAACAAGUGAGCUUAUUUGUCGGUAUUGACUUUUAUGAUGCAUACCCUUUUUCUCUUUCUAUAUUUUGUUUUCAGUUACCUAAUUCCUUAUAGUUGGCACUAGGUUUUUUUUAAAUUCAACGAGUUUUUGCAUCUAAUGGUCUUUUAUUGACUUUUAGAAGCAAUAUUUUAACCUUCCUGUUGAUUGUACCUUAGUUGAACUAAGUUCCAGAAAGACAGCUUUCUUUCACUAUCAGUGUAUGGAUAGCUUAGCAAUUUAGUCUUAUGGAUUCAUUAUUACCCUUGCACUAAAGCCGCAGGCAAAUUACUGAAAGACUAAUCAUAGAUCUUUUUCUGCUAAUUAAGGUAUUUGAGUGGUUCUAUUAUGGAGAGAAAUUAAUUUACUCUGUAAGUGAGGCUAUAUUGAAGAGAAUCUGAACUGUUUACAACUACUUUGUUCUCCAUAAGAAUUUUGGCUGCAACGUUUGACAAUUAUUGUUGUUAUUGCCUUUAUUCUCAUGACAGAGCGCUUUAGGCAGGACAAUCUGGUUCAUGAACACUGCUCAUAAUUAGAUUUUAAUUCCCAAUCCUAAAUUGCAUGUUAAUAGCAUUAUGAAGUAUGUCAUAAAUUUUGCACAAUACUUUAAACUCGGAAAGAGAGUAUUUGGACUUGGGAUCUCUUCCUGGAAGUACGGCCUGGUCACCAUGAAGCUUCCAGAAAUUUGUUUUCUACACGCAACACUGGAUUUGGUAUAACUAAUUGUGAGGAAAUAUGAGCUCUUAAAGCAGAUGAACAGUUCUGUGAAUCGGCUUAAUUAAUUUUCAUGAAUUCGGGCAGCCUAAGGCUUAUUCCAAACAAUUUAGAUGAAGAGUUCGACCAGAGUAAAGAAAUAUUUCAUUAUGUACCAUCUUGUCCUGUAAUUAGGUGAUUAUCAUAUGAAUUAUAAAUUUAUAAUCACUUUCCUGAGUCGAAAUUCAGCAGAUUUCUUUUGUAGUUUCCCCCCACUCAUCUACAGGUUAUUUUAUCAAAAAACCUGCUGGUUUUUUUUUAAAUUAAAAAAACCUGCAGGUUCUGUGCUGCUAUGUGCUGGCAGAAGAAAAAGCUUAAUGGCGAUAGAACAACAGUCAGUGAGAAAGACUGGCAUUUUGCAAAACCGACAUGCUGCAUAAUAGGCCUAGCUUACCUACCGUCCUUUUGAUAAAAUUGUACUCGUUAUAAAAUUAGAUGAACUUUCAAUUCGUAGCUUAUCCAAUUAGUACGUAACACAAUGUUUGAAAUACAUGAUUGAUCAUGAAUGCCAAUAUUAUUGCUUUUUGAUUUUUGCAACUCUGGCAAUGGAUCUUUCCACCAACCAAUCUCCAUGCACGAAAACGCAACAAAAAUCUUGAACUUAGUGGUUCAGUUGAAGUCAAAAAGCCAAAAGAAAGGGAUGAGAGGGGGGAUUGAAACAAAGAAAGCGAAAAGAGAAACAGACCAUGACUGGAGAGGAAAUAUGAAUAUAGGUGGGAAUAAAUAAGUAUUCAUGGAAAUCAACUGCAUGCAGUAACAAAGUGGCUUGUGAGGCUCUUCAGCUUUCUCCAUUAUUGGAGGGUGUCCAGGGUAGUUUCCAUAGGGUGGAGAUGGUUUGGGCGAGGGUAGAGUUCUUGGCUUAUGCUCAGGAGCCGGGGUAUGAGGUUUGGGCAUUGUGGCUGGCUUUUCAACGGCUUGUCCACCUGUGGUGCUGGUCCUUUUUUUGGAGGUAGAGUUGGUGCAAUGGGUGGUUUUGGUCCUAACUCUAGGAGGUAGAUCGAGUUAGUGGAUUGUGCUCAGGAUUUAGCUUUUCUGCUUUAGGAGGCUUUCGAACUCGGGUUCCUGCCUCGUGCUUGGCACUGGCUUCUUAGUUGGGGGAUCCAGGUGGCCUGGAAUGGGUGGUUUGCGCUCAUAUUGAGGUGGCUUUGCGUAAUCAGCUAAACAGGGUGCGCUAAGACUAAAAACCACUGAACCGAUAAACAACAUAAACAAGUAUACAUAGGAGACAUCUUUGUGCUUUGAUGGUAUAAAGAUAAUGGUUCAGAACUUGAAGGAACAUACCAUUUUGUAAUGCUUACCAGCCCUGGAAAGUUGUAUACAUGUUCAAAUUUCGUUCAGUUCGUGUCAUGCACAGAUUACAAAAUAAGUUAAACUAUAUAAUUUGCAGAGCUUAAUUAAGGCGAUAAAAUGGUUCAUUUGUUUCCCAUAGAGAUGAACAUUUAGACAGUUGGGAAAAUCCUGUUCCUAAGAAGGAUGAGGGAGGAAAAGUUCCAACCUCCAGGUUAAAAUCCAUUUUAGUUUCUCUCUCACGAUCUACCGACUUUUGCCCUUUCUUCAUCUGUUUCAACGUUGAUCCAGAUCUCUAGGUGAGCAUUUUGUCAAAGCAGCCAUCAUGGAAAAUGUCAACAGCGCUUGGACAGUAGCAAGGCAUUAUUUUGGCCAAUAAGAACAAAAAAGGUUGGUGCUACAAUUAAGGUAAUUACCGAAGAACUUUUGCUCCUAUUAUUUUUCUUCCGUUUUGUUCGAAUUUCUGUAUGAUUCACUCACUUCAGUCGUUUUCAAGACUGUGAUUUCUUGUAAUUCUAGAUUUUCUUCCAUGGCGUAAUAUUUGACAGUCCGCAUCCGCGUUUCUUGAUUUCCCAUAUAGAUUGCGACAUUGAUGGCCACUUGUCAGUCAUAGGUCGUUGGUACAGUUUCAUCGUGUCAGUCCGUGCCUAUCAUUUCAAUCUAAACAUGCAAAUAAACCCAAAAAAUGAAGAAUAAAAAAAAUAUAACAUAGUUUAUCAGAUAACUUUGGACUUUUAGUAUUGUCAAAGACUUUCGUUACUUGUUGGGAUGAAUUCUGGGUACAAAGUUGUCAAUAUUGGAGGUGUAAACAAGAACUCUCAUUUCCAGACUCAAGGGCUACCUGGAGUAUGUUUCCAGUAACAAACGUGUAGGAGCUUUAAUUUGACAUUGUAGAUGGUGCAAAAUGUGCAGAGAGAACAGAAUCCCAUAGUCUGUAGGUGGAGAUUGAUUGAGAGAGAUACAAAAAUUCUGUAUUUACAAGUCAUAUUUGCUCAUUGACAAAAGAAAAUAAAAUAUUGAACGUGGACUAUUCCCAUAGAAAAGAACCCAUAACUACUCAUCUCUCUUGCCAUAGUCUCUCUCUGUGGUAUGACUCCAUCAAGAUCCAUGAAUUAGUGAUAUCCUUACUUCAUCCUUUAAUUGUGAGGCCAAAAAUAAGACACAUACAACAGGAACCAACACACUGGAGGUGCAGCUGUGUAGUCUACAUGUUCCAGAACCCAGAAGUUUCCUGUCCUGAAAAAUAAGCCAUUUUUUUUUUGUAUCCUUUGACUAAUGUAUGUAAAUAAAAGAAAAUAUAGAUUUGAUAUGUCAGUGCUCUGCAUAUGUAGUUAUCUUCUCGAUCGGAUUUGCUCCUUAUUUUCAAUGGACAAAUGCUGGUAGGUUUUCUGGGUCUAAACUGAAGACUUUAUUCUCCAGACAGGGCAGGUGAAAUUGAAGAAUUAUGUGAGGAAUAUUCUUACUACGAACCGUGGUUUUUCUCCAGGAUUCUACGACCAAGGAAAACAAAUCGUGGUGCCAUAUGUCUCCAUGCAUGUUAUUAUGGGCACAUCAUCUUUCUUAAUUUCUGAUACGACUUACUCACACAUCCAAUGGAGAUGGUUGCCAAAAAUUUGUUUACUCCUAACUGGCUUAUCCUUUUUUACUUUCUUUAUAUUUUUCCCCUAAUAAGUGGUCCAACAACUCCUUAAAUUAUUAUAUCUUCACUUUUUCAUCCAUUCCACCAACUACAUAUAUUUUAAUGUUUUUGUUAUUUAAUUUCUGAUCUUGAAAAAUGACAAAAUUGUUUAAGUUAUUGAUUUAGCCAGCCAUUUAUUGUUUUCUUUAUUGGUGGCCGCAGCCUAUUGGUGUCCACCGACUGCCCCUGGCCAUGCUAGGCCAGGCUCUGGGCCCUUAAGCCCUGCUGGUUAUAAAUAAUUCUAACUUGAACAAACAAUAUUAAGCCUAGGCCCAACUUGAUGAUUAUUUUAUUACGAAAAUAGAUUUUUUUUUUUAUAAUUAAGAGACGAGUAUUUGAAUCUUAUUUUUUAGAGACAGAGAAUAUAUAUUAAUUAAUAAAUUAUAUAUUCUAGUAUUUAUUAUGAAGAUAAUUUUUUUUUUAGUUAGUGGGGUGCGCCAGCCCUGAGCUAUAGUGCAACGCUAGGGCAAUGCGCGAGAGAACCAAUAGCAAGCUACUAUGGUGGACUCUCUCCCUAAAAAAAUUAAUUUAACAUCAUGUGGACUAAUGGCCCAUGAAGAUAGUUAUUUUUGAAAAACAUAAAAAUUUGAUAUGUGAAAUUGAAUUUGUUGGAUCAGAAUUGAAAACCCGAAUAAUUCCGAGUACAAGUUAUUUCGGAUUCAGAUGAUUCGAGUAUGAUAUUCAGAUAUUUUUAUUUAAAUUAUUAACUUUUAAAAUUAUGUUAUAUUUUAUUAAUAGUAAUUAAAUUGUUUAUUAUCACAUUUUUGUUAACUUGUAUCAUACCUUCAACUUUGAUUUUUGAUAUCAUAAAAAAAUUCAAAAUUUUUUUGACUCAUAUAAAAAGGAAAGAAACAAGUGAAAUGAAAGUUAUUAAUUAAUAUAAAAAACAAUAGUUAACUUCUAAAAAAAUUAUAAAUUGUUUUUUAUUGAAUGAUGUUAAUUUUCACUUUCAUUACACAGAUUAUUAUUAGUAAUUCACCGUAAUUAUGGUUCGACUUACAAUUUAAAAUGUCAGUCAUAACUUAUAAAAUAAGGUAUAAUUCUCUCUUUAGUUCCUUUAAAGUUAACGUUUAUUACCUCAAAAUUUAAAAAAUGAAAAAAUAUUUUACGUAAUAAUUAAUGAACGUCAACAACACAAAUUGGUUCAAUUCAAAAUUCAAAACCAGAAAUAGCUUAAACCUAAAAUAACUCGACUCAAAAUUAAUUAAUGAAUAGUUAAAAUACAAUUUCUUUUUAUUUACAGUAUUUAACAUGCAUGCGGAGUUUAGCAUUUUGUGCGGGCCUAAUCCAACUCUUGGAAUUUAAGUGCGUGCAGCCCAUUGUCACAAAAGCACAAAGAACAAACAAGGCAGAGAGUACUUCAUAAAAUAAAAAAGAACAAAAAAAAAAAAAAAAACAAAGAAUUGAAGAUGGGUUAUCAGGAUCAAACUUAUAUGCACAACAAUUCCUUCUCAGCAUCAGGCUUUUCUGUCAGCUUUGGAUCUUAUUUCAUUAUAUGUUGUGAAUUUUGUCUUUACCUUCCCAAAAACUAUUGAUGCUCUGUAGUGAUUCUGGUUCCUUGUAGUAGGGUCUCCCCUGCUUUUUUUUUACAUGAAUAAAUUGUAUUUAUCUGAAAAAACAAAAGAGGGGUUACAGUUUCAGCCAUUGAGGCUUGCUGGGCUGCAAAGAAGCUAUAGAGAGAGAGAGAGUCGAUCAUCAUAUCAAAAAUGUUUAAUACUACAACUAUAGAAGAAAUUAAGACUGUAUAUUACACUAAGUGAAAGCAUAUAUAUAUAUAUAUAGUGACAGUCGUAAAGUACAAAGUUUUCAAACUGCAUGUCCAUGCUCAUUUCCUACGUAGGAAGCUAGUACAUGCACUACAAGCUAAAGGAGUGAACUACGUAAACAUUAAAAACCAACUAUAGCGGGAGUUAUGGACUCAAACCAUUGAACAUAGCUGCUCUUAUUUCUAUGACACUCUCCCAUUCCAUAUAUACUAAACACAACUAGCUACUAGCUGGUAACGCCUAGUUAGCUUGUCGUGGCGGCUUGUGGGGUGGUUCAUCAUGUGGAGGCUCAACGGGCGGUUGGUCAGGAGGCUGGUGGGGUGGUUCAUCAUGUGGAGGCUCAACGGGCGGUUGGUCAGGAGGCUGGUGGGGUGGUUCAUCAUGUGGAGGCCCAACGGGCGGUUGGUCAGGCGGCUGGUGGGGUGGUUCAUCAUGUGGAGGCCCAACGGGCGGUUGGUCAGGCGGCUGGUGGGGUGGUUCAUCAUGUGGAGGCUCAACGGGCGGUUGGUCAGGAGGCUGGUGGGGUGGUUCAUCAUGUGGAGGCCCAACGGGCGGUUGGUCAGGCGGCUGGUGGGGUGGUUCAUCAUGUGGAGGCCCAACGGGCGGUUGGUCAGGCGGCUGGUGGGGUGGUUCAUCAUGUGGAGGCCCAACGGGCGGUUGGUCAGGCGGCCCAAGUGGAGGCUCAUGAGGUGGCUCGUGUGGAGGCACUGGUGGACGCAACUUGCGUGGUGGCUGGAGCACUUCUUUGUUCUCAAGUACUUGCUCUGCCAGAAGGUGUCCCGCGGGGUGAUGACCAUCAUGUGGUGGCUUCUUUCCCUUGCCCUUUGGUGGUUUGUCAAAUGGUUUGCAGGGUGAGCUGUGUAAUUCCUCAACGCAGCCGUCUUCCGAGAGGUGUCGUUGGGGUACUGGCUUAUUAUCACCUGGGCGUAUCGGUGGCUCCUCUUUCUUAGGUGGCAGUGGUUUAUCACCAGGGAUAAACUUUGGUGGUACAUAACCAGGGAGAAUUGGUGGUUUGCGCUCUGGAAAGCGCUCGUCUUCCUCGGGAGGCCCAUUAUAAGCUAGAGAUGGGGAUGGAGUGGUGAGAAGAGCCAUCACUCCAAGUAAAAACAGAAGCAAGUAAGCUUUAGACAUUGUGAUUGGAAAAUCUGUAGCUUGUUUUUGUGGUGAAGAACAUGAACAACUAGCGGCCAUUUAUACUGGAUGGAAUCAUAGCUUUAUCGUCACCACUCAUGUCAUUGAGCAUUUGGCAAGCUAGCUUAGUUUGUAGCUUUAGAUAACUGUUUAAUUAAUUAAAUUACAGAUUUUCAGUUCACAGUUCACAUAGUGCUCAAAAGAAGAGAAGCUCACAAAUUUUAGGUGGUCCAUUUUGGGGUCCCAUCAAAGCUAUUUUCUUGUUUUUCAUUGAGAGAAAACUGAAAACCAAAUUCCUGUCACAUUUAGUCCAUUAAAAUUUAAUUUAUUUUCCUUACUAUAAGCCUGCACCCAAGUGACUCGAUUGACUUCCGUCUAUUUUUAUAAGUUCUGCCUAGGGCUUCUGUUUCUGUGUGUUGGCACGUUGAUUCUGUUCAUAUUUAGCCUUUAAUUUCACUGGAGUGCAAUUCUACUCGAAAUGGUGAAUUAACUUAUCAAACCCCUUUAAAUCACAAUAAAGAGGUGUAGAAUAGGAUAUUGCACCACAGAUUCCAACGUAUAUUCGAUUUUGAUUUUCCUUUUUUUUUAUUUUUGCAUGAAGUAGUCAAAAUUAAAUAGUACUUCAAAAUCAAGUUGAAGAGUUAUUUAAUAAUGUUGCAUAAAUUGUCUAAUGGCAUAUGUUAAAAUUUAGAGUGUUUUUUAUGAUAUCAUUAUAGUGCAAAAUCGAGUCAUAGCUAUGUUUACCUCGACAAUUUGCACAUUAUCACUUAAGAUCACCCACUAACUGAGAUAUUUUCUUAUCUCUUACUUCAAUUCGUUGGAUUCAAUUUCAUGAGAAAAUCACAUUUUUUUAAACGAAAUAAUUAUUGUAUUUUAUUAGAAUCGCUCUAGCAAUGAACACAAAAAUUCAUACACUAUUUUUCAAUUUUUUUUCUAGCCAUACUAUAGCAUUAAAGCUUUAAUUAGAAUAUAUAAUCACUUGGGUCAUUAUAGAUUUUUGUCUUUGGAAUUUUAGCAUCUUUAGGAACAAUUCAACAAGUAAAAAGAAAUUACCUUUUUUUUUGCUGUUUUUUUCAACUAGUUCAGACUUACAACAUGCAUAAUGUUGCUGGGUUUUUUUUUUUUUUUGGUCUUUUUCAUUUCAAUUUACAGCUACUUGACUUUCUCUCUGUUGGAAAGAAACAAAGACAAAACGCCAAAAAAGAAAAAAAAAAAAAAACAGAAGAAAGGAAGGUGGGAAAGUUCUCCUGAGAAUCUGAGGUACUCAAGUCAACUUCAAGGCGUUUGGGGCCAACCAAUGACUCAGAGUCACCGGCCCAGACGUUCGCUAGCGAUCGCUUUUGUCUUGACUCAGAGUCACCGUCCACGUCUCUUAGAACUAUAGUUGAGUUUUUCUUCUAUUUCUACGUACUUCCUCAAAAUUCAACAGGGAAUCGAGGAACGAGCUAGCCAAUGAAUCACUUAUUUUUCUUUGAUUUCAUACUUUAUAUAUAAAAAUGAAACAGUGUAAAUUUGGAAAUGGGUAAGAAAGCAAUAAAUUGAUUAAUUUGAUUAUAUAUGAAACAACAUCAGUUUAAUUUUGGAUUAUUAUAUUUCUAAUUCCCAUCAUUCCCUGGCAGUCAAAGUUGAGAAAAUUUCAUCAGUUCGAUAGGAGCAUUCAGAAGGCAACGAGUGAAAGCUUUGUUUUUUGUCAACCAAAAAUCCAAAAUCUGAAAGCGGCGAAAGCACAGUGGGUGAAACACUGAAAAUUAAAUCAGAAUAUCCCAAAAUAGUGAAUAAAGUAGAAAAUCCAUAUCAUACAAACAACAGAUAAACCAUAGAUGACGCAGGAGUUUCUGUAACAACAAAGUACAAUCUGCAUAACUCCAUAGAUAUGGCCUCCCAAGUCAUGAAUAAAUAAAGCAUAGGACUUGGCCAACGUGGAUGUACAUGUAACUAGCUAGAGACUACUAAUGAAAGACAACUCAGCAUCAGCUCUUAUUUGUGCGAUAAACUAGCGGUAUCAGGCUGAUGAUCUUCUAAUUUUAGGUACUAAUUAAUUUAGUUGCCGUGUGGAGGCUUGUGGGGUGGUUUAUAGGGUGGCACUUUUGGCUUCAACUUAUUGAUCGGUGUCUUGCGCGAGGCCUCAGUUCCCUGUCCUGGGUGACGUUUGUGGGGUGGUUUGUGCUCAAGUGGAGGCGUCUCCCCCUUACCCUUGGGUGGUUUUCCACCGGAAAAUAUUGGUGGCUUGUGCGAGUCCUCAACAUCCUCACCUAGGAGGCGUCUGUGAGGAGGUUUGUGGUCAUGGGGUGGCUCCUUUCCCUCACCCUUAGGCGGUUUGUCACCUGGGAAUGGCUUCUUGGGUUCUUUACCAUUUGGCAAUUCAUGUCCAUGUGGAGGCUUCUCUCCCGUGCCCUUGGGUGGUUUACCACCGGAAAAUCUUGGUGGCUCGCGGGAGUCCUCAACAUCCUCACCUAGGAGGCGUCUGUGGGGAGGUUUGUGGUCAUGGGGUGGCUCCUUUCCCUCACCCUUAGGCGGUUUGUCACCUGGGAAUGGCUUCUUGGGUUCUUUACCAUUUGGCAAUUCAUGUCCUUGUGGAGGCUUCUCUCCCUUACCCUUGGGUGGUUUACCGCCUGUGGUUUUUGGAGGUUUGUGUGUGUCCUCAACAUCCUCACUCAGGAGGUGUCUGUGAGGAGGUUUUUCCCCAUGUACUGGUGGCUCCUUUCCCUUACCUUUCUCACCAGGAUGUGUUGGUGGCUUUUGACCAGGGAAAGGCUUGCCUCCCUUACCCUUGUAAGGCUCAUUAUCAUGGUGUUGAUUAGCUAGAGAAGGAGUGGUGAUCAUAAGAACCACCACUCCAAGGAGAAACACAAGCAAGAAAGCUUUAGACAUCUUAAUUUGGGAUCUUUGGGUUAUGCUGUGGUUCAAAACUGGAUCACUUGGUGCCCUUUUAUAAUGGAUGGAAGGGCUGGAGCUAUGUUGUCAACACAUACACACGCAAUUCUGCAUUUGUCCUCUACUUCUGUACUAGAUUCUUGAUUUCAUAGUGCACUAGAUACACCUCAAAGCAAGUGAUGCUUUUCCAAGGAUAGUAUGCAAAUGCAAAUGGGUCCGAUUUCGGGUCCCAUGUCCGGUUGAAAUGUUUGACAAUUUUACUAGUGCGCCCCAUUCACAUUUACUUUUGGUAGGAAAGUUAACAACCAGCCUAGUUUAGAAAGAGAUUCGGUAACAGGAGGUUGAUCUUCACAUUGAUGCAUCAAGGUCCUUGGCAAGAAUUGAGACAAACAUAGAUUUAAGAUUCAAUGUGCAAUAUUGAGUAAGGGCAUGCCCCAGUCAUCAAUUCUGAUGGAAUCAAUACAAUAUCGAGUUGUGAGACGACUAAAAACGCCACAGUUUUUAGUUAACUAAGUUCAAAAUCAACUAGCUAUGGUUGCUUGAAAAAAGAAGAAAGCGAGAAAGGUAAAAAUAUUCUUCACAUUUUUCAAUUGCAACCAUUAAAAGCUUUUAGACAGGAGUGUGGGCUUUUUCUGGAGAUAUUGUUGACAAAACGGUGUGAACUCUGGAAACUUUGGAAAAGUUACAAACUUUUGUCAUAAAAUAAUAUUAUAGAGAUUUAAGUCAAGUAACUUUAUCAAGUCAUCUAGUACAAAUUAGUUAAUAGUAGUGUCCACUAAGUCUCGGCUCGACGGAAAGAAAGACUACAAGAAAGAGAAAAGAAAAGAACAUAAUCUCGAUUUGGGGUAGUUCUUUUGAGAGCGUUUCCACAAGCUUAAUUUGUCGUUUUGCCAUAUGAUCAGUAUUAUCAUAUAAAAAUUGCAUAUUUCUUUUGGUGCAGAAGUUGGGUACUCGAGAUUCAUGUUUUUACACGUUCCUUUCUACCGACAUGUAUGCCGAUCAUUAGUAUUGGCUCUCCUCUCCCAUAGUAACAAUUGCAUCAAUAUUAAAAAAUAAAUACUAAGAGAAAUUUUUUAAUAUAUAUAUGGAUGGGCAUAGCCCUGUUGGAUGAGAUGACACUAACAGGUAAUUAAAAGUAGAUUACGCACCCACAGGGCCACAACAUGCAGAAAGUAACCUACUAAGCAUAACUUUUCUUUAUAUGAUCAUAUUCAACCGUUCAUAUAACUUUUCCACGACAUACCAUUUUUGGUCAAAAUAUUUAGUAUUUACUCUUUAACCUCACAUUUUUAAUGGCACGAUUCGUUGGAUGCAUGAUUUGAGAAAAAUGGGCAGAAAAAGACAGUUCGAAAUAAAGGAAUUUCGUUAACCAUUGGCUUUGGCUACAAGCCAAGAAAGGUUGCCAACUUUUGUAAUACUAGUAGCACUAGAAAGGCUGCGAGCCAAGCAUGGGAUUGCAUACUGAUUACUGAGACAGAAAUCAAAGAGAAGAUAGCGCAUGCUCUUGUCUUAUUUUGUUAUUUCUACUCUCUCUCUAUAUAACAUAAAUAAAUAGAAGGAAGCCCCAAAGGGGCUUCCAAGUUUAGCCAUGUCGUGGCUCUUUUUGGAUGACAUCUGUUCAGAAUAUAUUUAAUAUUAUUUGAUUUAUUUAUUUUUUUUAAGUUAAUGAAUUCCAUUCAUAGUAAAACAGGGAUAAGUUCCCUGGAUACAAAAACAAAGCACAUGAUUUUAAGAUGCUACGCCUUGAUCGUCAUCUCGUUUCAAAAUUAUCUUGACAACCUGCCCAGGAGAAGCCAUCAAAAAAUAAAUCACAAAAAACAAACAUCCCUAUCAUCAAUUUACAAACAAAUGAAUAUUCAAAACCAGCAUAAAGCCACAAAGUCAUACCAAAAUCCCCCUGCUCAGUAAUUCAUUCCAGAUCAAUAAAAAACAUGUUGCAAUCUAAUCCAAAAUUCUAAACUCCAGAGCACAUGUCUUUACAAGUAACCACAACAUCUCAUUCAAAAGACUCCAUAUCAUCUCCGUAUUAUUUGAUUUGUUGAGGAUGCAUGUAUGGUAUUUUCUUUUUAUGCUCACUAAAACCAACUAAUGUUCUGGCUUUGGUCCAAUUGAGUCUUACUCCAGAAAACAUUAAUAGGCAAAGAAGCAAAGUAAAAACCACUUCAAAAAAAAAAAAAACAGAGUGACAUAGAGUGAAGGAAACUUGCACUUCGAAUGGAAAGUUGGCUAGGUUCUUUAGAAAGAGAGGAAAUUGGCGGUAAAAGGAAGGGAAAGAGAAGAAAUGAAGAAAAGAGGAAAGGGAAAGAAAGAGGGAGUUGUUGCCAGAAAUGUCCAGUCCGGCGAAGGCGACGAAGUCAGUGGUCGAGUCAGAGAGAAAGGGUUUAAAGAAACGGAUUAGUUGCUAGGGUCAGAAGAGAGUAAAAAUGAAGAAAAAAGAAAGGGGUUGCCAGCUAGGUUUAGGGAAAAUCAAAACCAUGUCGUUUUAUGGACACAAAAAGAAGAAAAAGAAGAAAUGGGUUGGAUUCAAUCAAGCCCUAACUGAUUCAACUUUAGAUUUAGUCAAUUUAUUUUAUUUAUGUAAUUCUUUUUUAUCUAUAAAUUAAAUUUAUAAAAUUACUUCAAAAAGGAUAAAAAUAAAAAAUUUAAACAAUUAUUUUGAUAAGUAAUAGAAAAAACAAUUUAUUGAAUAAAGUUAAUAAUGACUUAUCAAAAUUAUUGGAGGAUCUCAAAAUUAUUUUCACAAGGUAGAUUAAUUCUAAAUAAUUAUAAAAAUAUAAGAUAAAAAAUAAUAAUUAAAAUUGAAGAUAAUUCAUAAAAUUUCAUCAUUAAAAUUAAAAAAAAUUUAAUAUGCUUUAUUAAUAUUCAUUUUAUUUUCACUUUCAGAAGAAAUAUUCAUUUUAUUUUAAUAAUUUUANCGCUACACAUAUAAUUUAUGUAGCUUAUGGAUAAUAACUUUUAAUAUAUUAAAUUUUCUUAAUUUUAAUUUUAUUUUAUUAUUGGAAUCAUCAUAAUUAACAAAAUAUGAUUAUAUGAAUAUUAACAUAUAUUAAGAUAUAAAAAAUCGAAUAAUUUUAAAAAUAAUUUAAAUAAAAUAUUUUACUUGGUAAAACAUAGUAAAAUCUUUUUAAAAUAUAGUUUUUUAAAAUAAUACGCUUUAAUUUAUUAUGAUUAUUAUUAUUUAUAAUUUUUACCAAUUUAAAAUUACUUUUUAAUUAUUAUUAUUUUAUUUAUAAUAUUAUGUAAUUUAAAAUUAAUCUUUAUUAAAAAAUUAACCCCAUGCAAAGCGGGGCACCAUUCUAGUAUAUAUAUAUUAUCAGUUUGAUAUAUAGUGGAGUGCGAGGUGGCUUCCGUGGAGCUUCCCCUACGGUCCAAGUUUGGUGGAGGUUCCACAGAAGUCGUCUCCUCCACUGAAGGCCCGCCGGGUGUCCGCCGACCCAAGUUUAUCUCACUAUUGUUCCAAUCAUAAGAGUGAUGCCUGGAAUCCACCGAGUUGAAAUGUUGGGCUUUUAGUAGGCGUCAGUGUCAGCUGAGGCAGGCAACUGGGUGAAUGGUAAGGGAAUAUAAUCUUAUCAAAUCUCUCAAGGCCUCUCGCUUUCUCGGCAGCUAAAGGAAAGAAUUUGUAAAUAUAAAAUCUAAAAAUAAAUAUUUAUGUUGGCCUAGGCUUUGAUGGACUUUGUCCAAGCCCAGAUGGAUACUUUUCGAGCUUAAAUUUCACACUGCAGCCCAUCUAAUUAGCCCAAACAGCAAGUCCACUUACCCAGUUGUAGGCCAGACUUGCAAUAAAACACCCCUAUACACAACCACCUGUAUCAAUUACUUUAUAUAAAUUACUUUUUGAUAUUAUUCUGUGUUGAAGUCUUUGGCACUAUUCUCUACAAAAUAGUAAAAAAAUUAAUGAAUUCAUUAGCAUGAUUAAUUACAUAAAACUCUAAUAUAAAUAAUAUAACAAAUUAAAAUUUUUAACAUUUCAAUAAAUAAGUGACGUCCGCUCCUACAGCCUAAGUAGCCAUUUGUAAUUAGUCACAACAACAAAAACAAGCCUAAUGAUCUCAAGCACAAUCACUUCCUUCAACCAUUUCAUUCAAGGUCAUCCAUAGCGUUUGAUUCCUUUUAAAGCCAUUUUUUCCAAUUGAUUUGCAAGCUUAUUUGCUUCCCUUGGCACAUGAUGGAUCUCCCAACUUCACCAUCCUUCUACACGCCUCAACAUGCAGCAUAUUAAUUUCUCCUUAUUUUUCAUGGCAUAUUUUGGACUCGAGUCGCUCUCGAUCAUUAGGUGAUGUGAUCCAUUCCACAUUGAAUCUUCAAACACAGAAAUAACUUGUUGCCAUAAACAUUAAUUUGACAUCUUUUCUGUUAAUGAGAUAAUGUUUUAACAAAUACAUAAAAGCAAGAGUGAAACUAGUUAACUUUUAUUGGGGUAAAAGACAAAGAAAAAUAAAGGUUAAAAAUUUUUAAAAAAUCAUCUAAACAAAAAAAAUAUACUUAAAAAAAAAAAAGACAAAAACAUAUAUGAUACAUACAAGAUUUUAAAAAUUUUGAGGGCUGCGUAAAGCUCCACUAUUGCAUAAAAGGGUUACAACCAAAGAUAUUACGAGACACAAUUAUUAAGAUUGUUUUUACUAAUUAAAUAAGUCAUAAUAACUAUUUUUAUUCUAUUCAAUUCAUUAUAUCAAAUUACGUAAUAAUUAUUUUAUUAUAUAUUUAUUUUAUUUUAUUCUUACAGAAUAAUUAUUUUAUUUUAUUCUUAUCUAUUCUGCAAACUAAACAUAUUUAUGAUGCUACGUCCAUUUCCAUCAAUUAGGAUUAUGACUAAAAUUAAAUUACGCGCCUAACUUAUUUUAUUCUUAUCUAUUCUGCAAACUAAACAUAUUUACGAUGCUACGUCCAUUUCCGUCAAUUAGGAUUAGGAUUAAAAGUAGAUUACGCGCCUAACUUUUCUGAUCAUAUUCAACAGCUCAGAAUAAUUUUUCCGACAGCAUCCUAUCUUUAGUCAAAUUGUUUCUAAUUUUAAGCUGUACUGUCUUCUUCGAUCUCACAGUGUGAUGGGACGAUGAUUUGAGAAAAAAUGGACAGAAAAAGGCAAUUUCGAUAAUCAUGACUGAUUUUCUUUUUUCAAGACUUUUUGCAUAUCUUUUUAUUAAUUUCCAUAUGUUAGUAUAUCAUAAACUUGCAAGUCUCCAUCUCAAAACUUAAAGGAAAAUAUUGAGUUUUCCUUUUAAUAAAACUUCGUUGAUGAAUGAUAGCUUAAAAGCAUAAUAUAUUAAGGUUGCUUUUAGAAAAUAUUAAGUAGAUUACAUGAUUAUUAGCCUAGUCUUUCACCUUAAUAAUUUUGCGUCCCCAUGUUAAUUAUAUAACACAUUCUUUAUAAAUGUAUAUUUCGCUUGAAGUAUGCCUAACAACUAAAUUUAUGAUAUAUAUAUAAUGUAAUUAGAUUUUCAACUUCAACAUUUUUUUUGGUCUUAUUGCUUUUUGAGAUAAUCUCAUUUAUAUAUUUUUUAUUUCCUCAUUUUAUGCUAAACUUUAUAUAUAAUUAAUUUAUACUAAUUCAAAAUUUACAUAACAAAAAUUUAAAAUAAAAAAUUAUACUUGAUUCUUGAUAUAUAAUUAGAUAACGAAAACAAUACUAAUUAGAUUAAUUGAUGGCAUUUAAUGCACUAGGAUUUUUUUUAAUUUUUAAUAACCCUCUAAUGGAUUUGUUGUGUAUUGAUAGGACAGGAGACCUAACCAUAAUUUUAUAUAAUGAAUUUUUACUUCUACCUAUUAUAAGCUUUAAACUUGUUUACACAAGUUUACCGUCUCGAGUCUACAUUUAAUAUUGAAGUCUAACUCAUUUUAUUAAAUCAUAUCAUAAAUUAUAAUAUUAUCAAUUUAUAAAAACUAAAUUAUUUGAACUCAAUUUUAAUAAAAUACAAAAAAAUAAUGUAAGUCCACACUUUAAUUUUAUAAAAAAAUCUAACCCUUUACACAUUCUUAGUAAUUAUUUUUUGUGCAAUUCGAAUAGCAUAAGUCAUGACCGACAUAAUCCAUUGAUCCGAUGGUCAUUUUUUUUAUUUAAAAAAUUUAAGAAAUAAUGAAUGGAUGAUUGUCUUUAUGAUAAAAAAAAGUUAAUCUCAAAUAUUAGUAACGAGAUGAAUUCAAAGAAGUAUCAUAAUAUCAGAAUAUUUCAAAUUAAAAGAUAAAAUCUUAAUUGUAUCAUCUUAUGAAUUGUAACUAUUUUAAAAUUUUAAAAAGAAACUUGUACCAAAAACUUAAAAAUUAAGCUAGCUCCAUAAAUGAUGUGUGUGCCAUCGAGGCUAACAAUAUUAGCUCGAUAUAUACAUAAAAUUAAUUAUAUAAUUUUGAAACUUCACAUAUAUAUAUAUAUAUUAAAAUCCUUGUAAUACUAUCCAACUUGUUUCAAAAAAAUAAUGUUGCUAAUACGGUGCAAAAAUCCACAGUGGGAAGAAAUUAAAGAGCGAAUCAUCAUAUAUAAAAAAGUACACAUCAUUAUUUUCAUAUGUUACAGUAGAGGAGAUUUUACACAAACAAUCAUAUUCACAUCAAAUAUGAAAUGUUAGGUAUCACAAUGCCACUCACUCAAAUCUUUGAUGUCUUCAUCAAUUCUAUACAUCAUAUCCACAGGACCAAGAUCUCACCAGAGCAACUGGUUCAGUAACUUUUUGGGUCUAAAUUACGUGAUCCUCAAAAGCUUAAACUCAAGUUGCUAGUAGUGAUGGGCUUGAAUUGUUAUAUAAAUAUUAACAAUCACAUUCAUAUCAAAUGUGGGAUGUUGUGUAUUACAAUACCACCCACUAAAAUUCUUGAUGUCCUCAUCAAGACCACACAUCACAUCCACAAGACUAAGAUUUUACCAGAGCAAUGUGAAAGUUCACAUCGGAUUGAUACAAGCUUUGAUACCAUUUGUAAAGACCUAAAUCCAAACACUGGACCAACAGUUUUUUGGGCCUAAACCACGUUGCUCUCAAAAACUUAAACUCAAGUUGCUAGUAGUAAUUGAUUAAGAUUAUUAUAUAGAUCUUAAAAAUUACAUUCACAUCAAAUAUGAGAUGUUGGGUAUCACAGUAACGAUUCAAGCAUGGAUAACAUACUGAGUAAUGAGUCAGAACUCAAAGAGAAGAGAGCGAAAUUGUCUUAUUUUGUUAUUUCUACCAUACAUAUCACAUAUGUAUAGACUUAAAUAUAUUACUCAGUUUGGUAGCGGAGGCCCUCCGGGCGACUUCUCAAAACCUGUUGGCUUACCACUGUCCAAGUUUAGUGAGUUUUGUUUAGCAAGACUAGUCUCCUUUGCGGGCCUCCGACUGUGAAUUAUUGGAGGCUUGCUGAUGCGGUAACGAUCAGGACGAGAUGAAGUGGUGAAGAGCACCAGAAGGAGGAGCAACGCCAGCAAGUAGGUUUUGGAUUGCAUCUUUCCACCCAUGCAGUGCUGGAUCUAAGACUCUAGAUAGGAUGGUGCAGAAUUGGAAGAACUGAAGUGGUAUAUUUAAGUGGAUCAUGACCUGUAACUGCACGACAUGUCUCUUUCUGCAUUUCCUUGGUUGAACACUAACAAAAGAGAUUUUUAUUUGAAUGGAUCCAAUCCCAGUUAGAUGAAGCCCAAUUUUUCCUACUCAAGCCCAUCCAUAUUAAAAAAUAAAAAACACUAAGAAAUGUGUGUGUUUGAUUGAUGUAGUUUGAGAAAAUGAUUAGUACCCCUAUUGAACGAGGGAAACACUGAAAGAUGCAUGUAAGCGAUAAAUUUUCUGGGAAAUCUCUUCUCCUCUUUCAAAAAUAUUUUCAAGAUUUAUCCAUACUCCGAAAAUUUUUCUUGAUGGCACCAUAACUAUAUAUGAAGAACAAAUUUUAUACAAUAAAAGUAAAAUGCAUGUCCAUGAUCAUUAGCUGUUAAAAACAAAGUACAAUAGCUACCGUUACUAGAGGCACCUUGGUGCCAGAAGGAAACCGAUCCUUAUAUAGUAAAUUCAAGGUUCAAGAUGGAUCGAUAAUCACUAGCGCGCAGCUCUUAUUUUUUACCCCACAUAGAUUUACAUCAUUGAUUCUAUAUCUGUAUAAUAAUUAAGUAGUUAAUUUGAUGUUGGGAGGCUUAUGGGGUGGUUUUUCCAAUGGGUUUGUGUAAAUGUUCAACACGUGUUUAACAGGACGGUGUGCAGGGAAGGGUUGGCGCGGUGGUUUGUGUCCAGGCCGUGGCUUGUAUUCAGGGAAUAUUGUUUUCUCCUCUUCAUCAAGUAAGGUUGGUGGCCUGUGUUUUGGUGGUGGCUUAUUAGGUUUACCAUCCAGGGUUAGUGUCAGUGAGUUUUGUUCAAGACAAGUUUCCUCCGCUGGAGGCUGGAGGCCUCUGGCUCUGGGGUGUGAUCAACAAAUAAUUGAAAGGGGAAGAGCAGCGCCCCAAGAAGCAGUAAUAACACCAGCAAGUAGGUUUCUGAGUGCAUCUCUUCGGCUCUCGUCUCUUUGAUGAUGGUGCAAAACGAGGAUUGGGUCACAUGGGUAUUUACUUUAAUGGAUCACGACUGCCGAGAAUGAUGCUCAAUAUGUGGAGCACCGAAAAAGUAGACCAGCUGGAUACUUAUGGAGCUUAAUUUCCAACUGAAGCCCAGCUAAUUGACUCAAACAACUUGUCCACUUACCAAUUGCAGGCCAGACUUGCACUUCUUUUUUCUUUUUGUGGUUAUCAACAAAAUAAUCCGUACGAUAAUGGCUUCUUUGCAAUAGAUGCGACGUGGAGUGAAAGUGGCGGGAAUAACCAUGAAGAGUCAUCAUCUUGGUGCGCGAUUAAGGCCUUUCCUGCAAGAGAAUUAUUCCCCCUCCUCAGCGGCAACACUUUUGGGAAGAUUGAACCAAAGGGCUUUUCUCUCCCCCAAAAAUAUAUGACAAGAUUUCAUUACAUAAAAAAAAAUGUAAUUGAAACCCAAAUUUAUUGUAAUGCCAUCUACCAUAUUAUUCAUUUAUCUGAUUUUAAUUCAUAAAAAAAAAUCCUUUUACUAUACUUUCCUUUAUCAUAGUUUUUGUUCCUAUUUGCUGGAGUUUGUCUUUGAUCAAAUCAGCUUACCUAAGAGAAAGCAAACCAAUCUUCACAAAAUCAACUUUCUUAGUUUAAAAUGGUAUAUGUUAUCAACUUUUUUGCUUAAAAUAAUAAUAAAUUUCAAAUCAUACUUUUUUCCUUCUGCUUUUAGGAUUUGGCACUUGUAACUCUUAUCUAUUCAAAGUCAUCCUUAAAACAUUUUUAAUCUUAAUGAAAAUGUUAUCAUCAUUAACAAAAGUUAAUUUAUUCGAUGACUCACUGAAAUCAAUAGGUAAUAAUGGUAUUUUCCAAUGCCUUGUUGAUUCUGUGUUUGACAAUUGCAUAUCACUUAAAAAAGAAAGAUAGAUGUGAUUAAUCAUAACGCGAUUCAUUAUUUGUCUUCCUUCCCACUUAUAGUCUCUUGACCAAGAUAUAUAUGGAUUUGAUAAGACAAUGAUCCACCCCUUUUUUAAUAUAGAAAUAGUCUCUAUGAUCCUAAUCUAACCUUCAAACUAUAUUAACUUAUUGUUAAAUGAUGUAACCCUAGGGCUGAGACAUAGUUAAGAAAUAAAGUCAAUAAGGAAGGGAAAAAAAUUGAUACAGAUAUAUCAUAUACUUAAUUUAAUCAAAAUUUAGCUUCAAGAAUACUAAAAAAAAUAGAAAAACAAAAGGAAUCUGUUAGCAUAGCUAACAAUUCAUGGAAAUUGACCAUUUUUUGUAGCUUUCCAGGGUGAAUUGCUCCAAUUUAGAGUCUAAGGAAAGUUAAUGAAAUGAAAAGACAAUCAUAUACCUAUUUAACUUGUGAGAAGUAUGGAGAAGACAAAAGAGCACGUUAGAUUACUAAUUAUUUAACCAAUUUGAGUUGAAUCAGUUUAGACCACUUUAUUCAAAGGGAUUUUUCACUGGGCUGAGAUUGCACUAGUUUUGUUCUUCUGCCAAAGGUUUUGCAUCCUUUGACUGAAAAAGUCAUUCUGAAAAUUAAAAAAAUUAAAUGAAGUCAUCUUUUUGUGAUAGCAAUAAACAAAAGGAAUUCACAUUUCCAACAGAUGUAACAUGUUGGCAGCCUUCCUUAGCCUCGUAUUGGAAUAAAUCAAAACAAACAACAACCGGUAAACAAUGGAAUCCUCAGCUUUAGGCCUCGUUUUGGUGUGCUGUUUGCCGCUUUUGCAAGUUGCCGAAGUUACCUGUUUCUGCCUCCCCGCGGUUUCAAAGCCAAGCCUCCCUGCCCCUAUUCUCCUCCCCUAACCUCAAUGUCCUAAACAAGUCAAAUCGAUUUCUACAUUUUGACGCGUCACCCUCUUUCAUUUCAUCUCCCAUUCGGGGUCCAUUUGUUCACCUACUUUGCACACUCUUUUGCUUUCUCUGUUGUUUUUCAUUUGAGUGAUCAUCUCUUUUCUAUUCUCUACACCUUCUCUUCUUAUUCUCCUCAUCAUUCCCUUUCUAUAUUUCAUUAUUUGUAAAAGAAAGAACACCAAGAAUAUAUUCUCGUGGCUGUCUUUUAAAUCCAAAGGGUACCAACCAACCAUUCUUUUCUGCAUGAACAAGAAAAGCAAACCAAAAGAAAUAAAGAACAUAAAUGAAAAAAGCCCCGCGCACCAAGAACGACCAUUCCAUGUUUAAAAAAAAGAACUUCCCAUUUUUCUUUCCUUCUCAAAAUAUUCUCUUUCACUUUCAUUAGAAGAUCGUAGCAUGUAGGUGGUGGUAGACUUCUUUGUUUCUUUAUUCCUUCUCUUAGCCUUUUAUUUUAUCUUCUUGGCUUUCUGUUAUUCUUCUUCUUUCUUGUUUCUUCUUCUUUUUCUUGUUUGGUCCAAGGAGUUGAUCAGUUUUUUUUUUUGGAGGAUAAGAGGAGGAAGGUGUUGGGCUAUGGAACCUCGAGUUCUUGAUGGUAUAAUCAAUAGGUUGCUUGAAGUUAGAGGGAAACCGGGGAAGCAAGUGCAGCUUUCCGAGUCCGAAAUAAGGCAGCUUUGUCUUGUUUCUAAAGAUAUCUUCUUGAUGCAGCCCAUUCUUCUAGAGCUUGAAGCACCAAUUAAGAUCUGUGGUAUCUUCUUUUACUCUGUUUUCUUCAAUUUUAAGUUUCUCUCUCUGUUCAGAGUCAUGGUUAAAAUUGAUUCUUUCGUAGUUGGUUGCUACCAGUUUAUGAGUUUGAAUAUGGAAAUUUCUUGUUUUAGGUGUGACUUGUUGUGUGAUUUAUCUCUGAAAAGUUCUAAAUUUAUUUUCUUAUGUGCUGGAGGUGCUGAAUGAUGAUGAAUAUGUUCAUAAAUUCUUCAUUUCAGUGAUGGAUGUGGAUGAAUUUAAGUUUCAGAUGUGUUUUCAUCUGUUUUUUUGCAGUCAGGCUUGAAGUUCUUUUGCCAGGUAUAGUAAUUAUAUUGCAGGGUGGUAGUUACUACUGUCAUGUUAGGGUAGGGUUUCGAUUCGUCGUUCCUACUUUAGUAUUAUAUAAUUGACAUAUUAAGUAUGAACCAUGCUGUUUUGUUAAAUUCUGGGUUCUGACUUGGGAGAUUGUGAUGGCAAUUUGAAUGCACUUAGAUCAUCUGCAAUGUGUGACCUUCAAACCUUAAAUAAGAGAUAGAGCUUUUCAGUUGUUCUCUGUUCAGUGCUGUAUGUUGACUGUUAUUGAUUUUGGCUUGAGAGAUCACGUUAUGGCUGCAAAUUAGUGUUUGAAACUUUGGUCAUAUAUUGUGCUUGUCAGUUCCCAAGCUUAUUAGCUCUAUACUGAGAGCUAAACCAGGGGAUUCAGUCGUUGAAAUGCUGAAGAGGCUCCCAUAAGUCACUUAUACUGAACAUAUGUCUUAUAUACUGCUUCUUUUCAUGACCCAGGAGAUAUUCAUGGUCAGUAUUCUGAUCUCCUGAGGCUUUUUGAGAAUGGUGGUUUCCCUCCUCGUGCCAAUUACUUAUUCUUGGGGGAUUAUGUAGAUCGUGGAAAGCAAAGCCUGGAAACAAUAUGCCUUCUCCUUGCAUACAAAAUAAAAUAUCCGGAAAACUUUUUCCUUCUCAGGGGCAACCACGAAUGUGCUUCUGUGAAUCGUAUCUAUGGAUUUUAUGAUGAAUGUAAGAGAAGAUUCAAUGUCAGGCUCUGGAAAGUAUUCACCGACUGUUUCAACUGCCUGCCUGUGGCUGCUCUGAUUGAGGAAAAGAUAUUCUGCAUGCAUGGGGGACUUUCACCUGAGCUCCGCAACUUGGACCAGAUUAGAAAUUUAAAGAGGCCUACUGAUGUUCCAGAAUCCGGCUUACUAUGUGAUCUCCUAUGGUCUGAUCCUAGUAAAGACAUUCAGGGCUGGGGGCCAAAUGAUAGGGGAGUUUCCUAUAUGUUUGGUGGUGAUAGGGUGAUAGAUUGUCUCAAGAAGCUUGAUCUUGAUUUAAUAUGUCGAGCUCACCAGGUUUAAAUACGUUUUUACAUGAAGCAUUUGCUGCUAAAUUCUUAUAGCUCGGCUUCCUUUCUCUCAUCAACUGGUAUCUAUCGCAGGUUGUUGAAGAUGGAUAUGAAUUCUUUGCUAAUAGGCAACUUGUAACCAUAUUUUCAGCACCUAAUUACUGUGGAGAGUUUGACAAUGCUGCUGCCAUGAUGAGCGUGGAUGAGACAUUAAUGUGCUCUUUCCAAAUAUUAAAGCCUGCAGAUAAGAAACCGAAGUUUGGCUUUGGAACCUUAACUCCAACAAAGCCUUCUACUCCUUCCUCUAGAAUCAAGGUAUAUUGAAUAUCCUUGCCCAUGUUGCUUCAAAUACAUGAAUCUUAUCUUCACAUUCUUUUUCCUUUGGACAUUAACAGUAACUUGUGAAAGCAUGUUGUCUAACUGUUGGGGCAUCUUGGAGCCAAACUCAUUGUUUGAAUAUCCAUAAUCUAGCUAAUUUCUAAUGAAGAAAAGAGAGUCAGCAAUGCUGGUGAGAAACCAGGAAGGUUCUAUCCUCAUGAUCAUUUAAUACAUACUCCGGCUUCCUUUCCUUGGAACAGAGCUCAUUCUUUCUUCUGAACUUUAAUUGUUAAUUCUCUUUGUUAAGUUUCUUUGAUGGGUUUUUUUUUUUCUUUUCUUUUGGGGAUUUUCUAAUUGUUCUUGAAUUCUCAAAAUAUUCCCAUGUCCAUAUACUUCUUGCCUUCAAAAUUUGGCACCUUGUUUUCAGGUGCCCUAGCUUGUUUUCACUAAUAAAAUUCCAUGUCUGAAGAACUUGUCCAUUGAAUUCUUAGUUCGUCUUAUUCAUUGUAGCUUUCCACCUUCAAAGGCCUAAUAUUCACUUUUGAUGAGCUAUUAACUGUUUCACCUGGUUCUUUGAACAUUACUUUUAAACUUAGGACUCAACUACAGGGUAUCUCAUUUCUAAAAAUUGCCUUCAUUUCCUUAUUCUUGUAUGAAGUUAGCUGAAAAGUUGCCCAGGGUAUCCAUCGUUUCGUUACUCUGUGCUUUUGUGGAAAUUCGCAUCAAUUUCUUUAAACAUCUUAAAUUUUUGUUUUCCAGUCAUUUCUUGGAGCAAAGGUAUAUGGUGUUUGAACUGAUGGAGAUAUCAGAAGGAGGUUGCUGCCUGUGAUCAAAGGUGUAUGGAAUAUUUCAAAAAUAGCAGUCCAGAAAUCUAGUGAUUACUCUAGGAGUUUUAUUUUGAUGAAGAAGAAACAUUUUGCAACUUUUGUUUUUCAUCUGGGGAUGAAAACAUGUUUCCUCCACCUGCAAAAUUAUUGGAGGCUGUAAAUUUUUAGUUUGCUUUGACCCCUGUGUAUCAGUUUCAACAUGGUCUAACUGAGCCCUCUUUUUUCCCUCUUCUUUCAUCUUUGUAUUUGCUCAGCCUCUUUGGUCAGGCUGCUCUAGUUGUAUUAUAGUCAAAGGAUGGAAAAUGUAAGCAGGGUGGAGAGUUUAUGCACGGGUUGGAUAUCCAAAUGCUCCUUGAUCUUGGGAAUUGCUGAUGUUGUGUCUCAUUGCAUGUAAAUCAGCUUAUUACAUACUUGUGGCAGACUUUGGGCAUCAUUUUUUUUGUCUCAACAACUCAUUUGGCACUAGUCUUAUAAAAUAUGGUCUGUCAAAUUUAUUUGCAUAAGGCUCUUGCUAUAGUCUUUUAGGGGUUAAACUGUAUCACAGUCGCUCUGUUGCUUGGCAUUAAUGGACUUCUACUCUUGUUAAAGAUGAAAAUAUAUAUGAUUGGGAGUACUUCUCUUAUUUUAUGUUUGCAGGAGCAGGAGCAGGAGGAGGGUUGCCACUUGAUGUAAGGAAAAAACAGAAGGCUCUUUGAACUCUUUGGAAUUGGAAUUGGAAUUGUUGCUUCUUUCGGAUCAUCCAAGACAUGAAAAGACUACAACCCGUGGGUAAAACAAAACAACCAGGAAAAAUAAAAAGUACAGAGUGGAAACUAGAAACGCAGCAAGGAAGGAAAAAGGAAAAAAGAACAGAAGUAAGACCAGAAAUAUGGUUCUUAUUUCUGACAUAAUAAUAAUUGCAACAAUCCAACAUCUAAGGCAAUGCAAUUUUUAAACCGCUUCCUCUAUCCACAUUCCUGGAUUUUCUAUGCUGUUGUCACCGAUCUUUGGAGCUGCAAUAUUGAAACCUGAAAGGGUUUUAUCAUUUUUAUUUCAUGUGCUUUGACAAAUGUAAAUUGAAGCUUGAUCCACCUUCAGCUGAAGGUUGGGGCCUAACUGCAGUAGUGCCAUGGGCUCUUAAUGCUGCAAAAAUUGAGUAAAUCAAGGUCUCACCAAAAUAAUCCAUAUGCAAUUGUGCAUAGGCUUCUGCCAUAUAACACAUUAUUACAUGAGACUCGAAACUUAUAUCACCUAAGCCCACUCGCCCCCUCCAGAGCAGAUGAGACCAUGUUAUAUUUCAGUCUCAAAUAAAAGAAAUCCGGUUUCCAACUUUAGCACUAUCAGUCCCCACUUUGAUCGAAGUCUUGCACUUGAAUCAACACUAUUAAGAGGUCCAGGUUCUACCAUGGGCCAUAUUAAAUUUUAGAGUAUAGAUUAGUCCUGAAACUCAAUAUAACUGAAUCAAGGCACUCUCACUGGUGUAACUUUAGUUCUUUACUCGUUCAGAUUAGGAAAAAGUUUUGGUCAAUCCCAUUUGUCUUUGCUGCCACCUCAUAACAUUCCCCUGUUUACAGGCACGAGUGAAAAAUUUUCAAAGUGGUCCAUUGGGCAUAAUUCUUUGCUGAUAGAAGUCCGUUGGACGAAACAAUAAAGACAAAAGGGAUCUCAUCUUUUGGACUUUGGCAUGGAAUCAUUUGCUUUUCUGGCACGCAAAGAACUGAACGAGUCUCACGUUUAAGUCUCCCCUUUAAGACAGCCAAUUCUAUUACCUCUAAUGGGGACUCAUCUAGGAGAGAAUAAUAUAAGGUAGGUUCCUGCAGCUUGCAAGGUUGCCGUUUUAGUUACAUCAGUUGAUUGUAUAUGUAGCAGUAAAGCGUGUGGAAAUUUUUCGAAGUCAUCUCUUGGAGAGUGAGGUGUGGGUUAGAAGAGAAUUUUAGCUGGUAGACAAAAGUGAGAAAUUACAUUUGUUUUUCGACCAGAGAAAUUUCAUGCAGGGUGCUACCUUGAUUCCCAUGAGCUUUCCCUUUCUUUAAUUUGGUUUUCUCUUUAGGUUUACUGGCCGCUGUUGACUUGGUGUUCCAAACUUGUAUAUCUGGGCAACUUUUUAAGAUGAAUACAAGGUUGUUUAAGUGAGUUCCUGUUCUCGUUAUCUAUCUAUCUACCUAUCUAUUUAUGUCGGACUCAUUUGUAAAGGAAAGUAGCCAUUGAUAUCCUUUUCCCAGUGAGUUUCUAGGAAACCCACCGGAGGGAAGGACAAUUGUCUUGGUCUGGCUAGGCAGGUUAACUGCCUCCUAUAGUAAUGAAACCUUUAAAUAAGUUGCAAGGUGCCGAAAGCUCUGCAGGAUCCAUCCGUUCUCACUGGUCAAAUAUUUUGCACCAAAUUAAAUUGAUUAAUUAACUAAUCUGAUACCUCCACUUUAACACUGUUUUUUUGGUUUGAUAGCAACAUAAAUUAUUAAAAAAUUAAAGAAACAAAACUAAGGAGCACCUUUUUGACUUUAAUGUAUAAGCUUUUGUACAUUAGUAGAGGACUCUUUGUAGGCAAAACGUGGCUGGACAAGAAUCUUAGAAUCUUAGUUAAAUUAACUUUAAUAACUUUAAUCUAAUACGGUAAAAGUAAUCAUAUAACGUCAGAUUUUGUAUUUUAAUCAGAGUUUUGCUUUCAGGGAACAUUUACACUAUGACUGCAAGCCUAAUAUGAAAACUAGUAGGUGGGGCUGCUAUCAGGAUUAAUUUAGUCCUUUCAAGCUUGUAUUAUGGAAGCUAUGGCGUCAAAGCUUUGUAUUUAGCCCUAUGCUACUGCACAAAAAAAAAAAAAAAAAGUCCUGUGCUAGCAGAUGGGAGCAACAAAACGCAAGGCUUUGAUAGGCAACUAGGCAACACAUGUUUUAGCAAAUCAUAAUUUUUCAUUGUUAGAUGAUAUGUAUUAGUAUUGUGAUAUACAACAUUUCACAUAUGAUGUGAAUGUGAUUGUAAAGAUCUAUAUAAUAAUCAAAGUCUAUUAUUAUUAGUAAUUUUAGGCCAAAUAAACUACUGUACCAGCGGUUGGACUUGAAUCGUUAUAAGUACUUAGAUAUGUGAUAUAAAAUUAUGAAAAAAAAUAUCAAACGAAAAAUUAAAAAAUAAUAAAAGAUUUCUAAUGAAAUUAUCACUUAAUUUACUUCAAAAGAAUUAUAUAUUAAAGUUUGUUGGUCAACAUUAUUUUAGAUUAACAGAAUGGUCCCAAUAUAAUUAAUAUACAUUGAAAAAGGCAUGUGAAUGCAAUUAAGUUCAUACAUAUUUGUAUAUAUUAGUCACUUUAUAUUAGUCACUAUCAUAAUGAAAACUUGAUGUGUGAACUAAUUAAACCAUUAAUAUGAGUUAUCACGAGGAAUAUUCCAAUUUGAUAUAAAAUUGGGUAUUGCAAAUUUGCUGUCCCCUUCACUUAAAAUAUCGACAAUUGCAGUCAUAAUCGAAACUUGCAGAGAAUUCAACUACAGUUAAUCAAAUUAGCACAAUAUUAAUAUGAAUUUCACUGCUUUUAUUGUCAAUGUGAGAUCAUAAAGUAUCGCAAAAAUAAAUAAAAGUAGGCAAAUCCGACAUCAUAAAAUGUUGACCAUAAAACAGCUGAUAAAAUUGUUAUAAAAAAAUUGGCAAAUAUUGUUGUGAAUGUGAUAAGCAAAACAUGAUUUGCAUGAAGUUCCGGCGCCGCUGCUUAUAUAUCGACUCAGGGAGCAAGGGGCUCAUUCAGAAAGGUCAACUGCCUCUACUAUAUUCCUUUUUUUGUUUUUAUGCAAUGCAAAUGGCUGCCAGCAGGUUUCUAACUUCAAUAUACAACCCAACGCUGUGUGUGUGUGAAAAAUUUUUGCCGCAAAGCUAGCUAGUCUUCUUCAAUAGUUCUUUUUUUAUAUGUGGAAAAUGAUAAGGAUGAGUCAUGUCUGUGCAUUUUUUCCUCGCGCUGUCAGUUAGGCAUAUCCAUCGGUAAGAGAAAUACGGCUUGAAACUAAAUCAAGCAAUCAUUUGUUUAUGCUACAAGUUAUGCUCUGACCAAAAUUAAAUUGUAUUAAUUAGGACUAAUUAAUUAAAGCAAAACCCUGAUGAUGAUCAUUCAAAGCCAGAAGCUCAAAGUCAAGCAUGGUGCAUUCAUGCAGCUCUGAAAUUAAGUUCAAAAUGAACUGAUGGUUUGUAGCUCUGAUGGUUUCCAUCAAGUUGUUAAGGACAUGGUAAGAAAUGAUUGGGAAACAUUUGCAGUUUGAAGGAUUAAUUCAACCAAAUAUUCUACUGGGAACCACACUUCCCCUCAAUCAGAAGGUUUCCAAUUUAAAUUUAACUAUAAUUAAUUAAGGGAAUAACAACUGAGGCAGGAGAGAAAAUGAUUGUCCAUUUUCCAGUUCUAUCUGUCUGAUAUAUUUGAAUGCUUUCCUAGCAGGCUAAAUUGGAUUCAGACUAAAAAAUAACAUAAUCUGGCUUGUUUUCACAUUUAGCAUGAUCAUUCAAUUGUUUUGCAGAUGAAAUGUAGCAUCAAGUCUUUCCCUGGACAAAAAAAAAAAAAACUUGUUGCUUCACACAAAUGGCUACUUGCAAGUGGCUGUUAUUUUCAUCUCUCUGUCUGAUAUUGAUUCAAGAAAAUGGCAAUCAGUUGACUUUCUUUGCCUUCAAAACAUCAAAUAGUAUAUCUCUCUGCCUUUAUUUACACUUUUGUAUGCAUUGCGAGAUGAUGAUAUCCAUGAUGUAUUCUUUACUUCCCAUAUCAGCUUUGCACCUUGCAAAAAAAUACUCUUUAAUUUCCAGCAUUACCAUAAAAUGCGAAAUACAUUAGAUAAAACAUGUUGUUCCUACUACCAAUUGACAUUGCGAUCCAAUAUCUUUAAUUUUUAAUUGUUUUUGGUCAUAAGGUUAGUGUAGUAGGUGAAUGAGUUCUUCUGAAAUGUUUGUAUCUAUGACUCAACAAGUCAAUAAUACAAAUGAGCAAUCCAAAGAUGAAAAGUUAACUAAUUAUAGUGGUAAAUCUAUAAUGUAAAAGAGAAAGGAGCAAGAAAGAAAAGUUGUUGUUAGUGAAAAUUAACAUGAUCUUGAUGCUGCUAUUCUAUUGGCAAAUUAUAGACACUAACCCUGGAGAAGACCAGAAAGGUUAAUUCUAUGGCACUCCUACUUUUCUUUUCAGUAAUAAGUUGAGCCAAAGUGGAUAACUUGGUUUCCUAUUUCUCAGACAAUUUUCUUGCAUUAUCCAUCCUCCUAAUAGGCAACAGCUAUAGCUUGCACCCUUUUGUGUACUAUAAUAAUCUAGACUAUACUUAACAACUCCACAUACUCAAUAUAAAAUAAAAUAAGGAUGAGAAUUGAAUAAUUGACGUUGAGAGACACUAAAUUCUUCUUCUUGGUUUUUUUUUUUUCCUUUGCCUCAUUUUUUUUUGUAUAAAUAACACUAAUUUUUUAACUUAAUUGUACAAGGGUUGGGAAUUGGGACCACAACCGUUGACCAAACGAACAAUCAUGACUGUGAUUAUCCAAAAAAAAACACUGUUUUGAUAAUGUAAAUUAAUUUUGCACUACAUGUCUUGCAUCACUCAUUGUAUGUACAUAUAGUUGUAAUUAUAAAAUUUGGAUUUGAAUUCGAAUAUUUAAUUUAUUGAUUAGUGCAUUAUUUUUUACUUAAAAGUAAAAUUCGAAUCUUCUUUCUUUAAUUAUAAAAAAAAUUAAAUUUAUAUUAUUUAUGAAAGUGAUGUCUUUGGGGUCCAUCUAUGAGAACAUGGCCUAGCAAAUAUGAAUCACAUUCCUGAUUCCAAGGUUCACAUUGAUCCGUGUUGGAUUAUCUACAUGACACACGUUUAUCGACGGUUCAGCCGCAUUGUCUCUAAUGAAUUGGCAUCUCAUGGGAUGGGAGAGGAAGGUCGUACAAUCAUGGAGAGGAAAUAUCCGAGAAAAAAACACUGAAGAGAGUUAAUGUUGAGAAGGACAAUGUAUAGAAAGAAGAUGGGAAGACCUGUAAAAGAGUUGACUUAACAAAAAAAAAAACCAGAAAGGGAAUAUCCUCCACUAGAUGCUGUCAUGUGAAGUUCUCUCUCAUUUAAAAGGCCAACCACUCUUUACUUUCUUCAUUCACAAUUUCCCUUCCUGUCUCCACCUCAUCAUCCUUCAGAGCACUGUUCAGGAAACAGGUUAGUGUCUCCUCUGCAAUUUGUGAAGCUGGAAACUCUUUUUUCUUUCAAUAUAAUUGAUUGUGAUAUGAAAGGAAGAGUUCUCCAGUUCCUGGCUUAUUGGAAAUAGAAGUUCUGCUAGAUGUUCCAGGACCACUUUAGGCACCUCUAUCACUUUGUAGAUAACCUUCAGUAGUUUUUUAUCUCAUGUUGAAAAAUAAGGGACUUUAACUGAUUAUGGUAGGGCAGGCUUCCUGAAAAGGCACCAUGCACUGACAGAACUCCCUUACUAUUACCUUUUUCUCAUAUGGUUUUCCUUUCUUUUCUUCUAUAAUGAAAACAAAUUAAUAAACUGCAGUAGACAUAAUUUUCUUGAGUUUGAUUAAUGCUUUAUGUUUAAUUCUUUUCCAUCUCUACUGUUGUUUAAUUUGUGUCCAAAACUCCACAAAGAUGGUAGUAGAAGGAGGAAAGAGAAACCUAUUUCUGGCUUUCUGCAACUAGUUUUUUUUUUUUUCAUCGUCCAUAUUUGUAUGGCAUUGAGAGUAAUGCCAGAAUUCAAGGAUUUCCUAUAAAAUCUUUAUGGAAACUCCAUUCCCACCCUCCAAAAACAGGAGCUAAGUUCAGAUUGAAAUGACCUUCCUUUCUACGGUUGAAUUUGCUUAUUUUUCCAUGGUAAGAACUAAGAAGUUCAAGGAAAAGGAAGGUUUCCCUUUUUUGUUCCUUAUUAGGGGGUGGGUGAGACUGUCUGGUUUUGCAUAGUAGUCCAUGGCCAUGAGCUGGAAAUUUGAAUUUUUUGAGUCUUAAGAUUUCAAACUUCAAGUUUUACCCCAAAAGCAUUGAUCUUCUGGAAUUGCAAGUUGGCCUAACAAACCUUAUGAAAUUUUCCUUCUCAAUUUGUUUUUCAUCUAGUCACUUUCAAGAGUUGGUACUAGUUGCAAUUUUUUCUGCAGGCUGUCUUGACAUGGAAUAGCAGUAGAACGUUGUCUGGAUGGUGAUAAUUGAAGACUCAUUGACUAAAAAUUACUGGUUACGGAAGAAUUGGGUAAUACUACUUUAUUAACAGUAAUGUGGGGUCAAUGUCGUCCAUCCUUUUCCCAUUAAACAAAUAAGGUUUUCUCAUGCAAUCAAUUCAAUGGGUUUGGUGAUCUGAAAUAAAAUAGUACUACUAUGUGAUUUCUCCUAUUGUGCAGUAAAUGUCUUAAUUAUCUAGAUAGAAUUUGUGAAACUUGUUGAAGUCUGCAUAGGAGAAGAAAAACAGGAAUCUCAUCAUGCUUUGUCCUCUAAUGGGCUAUAAUUAGGUAAACGUAAGGGAGGUUUUUCGUCUUUUCUGAUAUUUUGUUCAGCAUGAAUUGACUGAUUACCCAUUAUGUAAGGUAAUAAGAAGUCAAGGAAAGAAAUUAAGAAGAAAUUCUGCAAAGCUUAGCUGCUGCAAAGUAGCCCAUGGAAUCAGCCCCUUCCCUAUAGUGAUCCUUUUUAGCAAAGAGUUCCAGAAAAAUUCUUGUCUUUUUGGUGCUAAAUUCGUUUAUUGACGAUGACAAGAUAUAAUUGAUCAUUUCCAUCCAUUACCAAUUUCAAUUGAUAUCCCAAUUGUUCUAAUGCAGGACUGUGGAAGAGGUUGAUACCAUAAUUUGCAAUAUCCAGCCAUGGCUAGAGAACAGUUGGGAGUGCUUAAUGCACUGGAUGCAGCCAAGACACAGUGGUAUCAUUUCACUGCAAUUGUUAUUGCAGGGAUGGGAUUUUUCACUGAUGCAUACGAUCUGUUUUGCAUCUCCUUAGUCACCAAAUUACUAGGCCGUAUAUACUACCAUGUUGAUCGUGCACCAAAGCCAGGCACAUUACCUCCAAAUGUUGCAGCUGCUGUGACUGGGGUCGCUUUUGUUGGCACUUUAACCGGCCAGCUGUUUUUUGGGUGGCUUGGUGACAAAAUGGGCCGGAAAAAGGUCUAUGGUAUAACUUUGAUCCUCAUGGUUGUGUGCUCUAUUGCCUCAGGGCUGUCAUUUGGAAGCAGUCCAAAGGGUGUUAUGGCUACCCUUUGUUUCUUCAGAUUCUGGCUUGGUUUUGGGAUUGGUGGUGACUAUCCUCUUUCGGCCACAAUUAUGUCUGAAUAUUCUAACAAAAAGACUCGUGGAGCGUUUAUUGCUGCAGUGUUUGCAAUGCAAGGCUUUGGGAUUUUGGGUGGUGGAAUUGUGGCUCUUAUUGUCUCUUCUUCCUUUGAUCGUGCAUUCAAGGCGCCUGCCUACUCUGUCAAUGCAGCAGCCUCAACUGUGCCUCAGGCUGACUAUGUUUGGCGCAUAAUUCUGAUGUUUGGUGCGUUCCCUGCUGCUCUUACUUAUUAUUGGCGAAUGAAGAUGCCGGAAACUGCUCGUUACACUGCCCUUAUUGCCAAGAAUGCAAAACAGGCUGCAGCAGACAUGUCAAAGGUGUUGAAUGUGGAUCUUGAAGCAGAAGAAGAUAAGGUAAUAAAGUUAACAGAAAAUCAAGCAAAUUCCUUUGGCUUGUUUUCUAGGGAAUUCUUGAAGCGCCAUGGACUUCAUUUGCUUGGAACUACUUCCACUUGGUUCUUGUUGGACAUUGCCUUUUACAGCCAAAAUCUAUUCCAAAAGGAUAUCUUCAGCGGAAUUGGAUGGAUUCCUCCAGCUGCAAGCAUGAAUGCGAUCCAUGAGGUCUACAAGAUUGCAAAGGCACAAACAUUAAUCGCCCUAUUCAGUACCGUUCCGGGGUAUUGGUUCACGGUGGCUUUGAUUGAUAUUAUUGGAAGGUUUGCAAUUCAAUUGAUGGGUUUCUUUUUCAUGACAGUUUUCAUGUUUGCUCUUGCCAUACCUUACCAUCACUGGACCUUGAAACCCAACCGAAUCGGUUUCGUAAUAAUGUAUUCCCUAACCUUUUUCUUUGCCAAUUUUGGACCCAAUUCUACGACAUUUGUUGUCCCAGCUGAGAUCUUUCCUGCAAGGCUAAGGUCAACCUGUCAUGGUAUAUCAGCUGCAGCUGGUAAAGCUGGUGCCAUAGUGGGUGCAUUUGGGUUCUUAUAUGCUGCUCAAAGCACAGACCCAACCAAGACAGAUGCAGGCUACCCAACAGGCAUUGGAAUCAGAUACUCACUUAUUGUGCUCGGGGUCAUCAAUUUCUUAGGAAUGUUAUUUACUCUCUUGGUGCCUGAAUCAAAGGGUAAAUCACUUGAGGAGUUAACAGGUGAGAAUGAGGGUGAAGUUGGUGAGACAGAACUACAAACUGGUCCUACUAGGACUGUUCCUCUGUGAUUUGAGCAAAGUUAAUUACAGCAGUUCUUAUUAUGUUAUGUGUGAGUUUCAUAGUGGCAUUUUAACUUCUUCUUGGUUUUCUAAAAUUCCUUGUUUGAGAAAGAUGCUAUAAUGAUAUAUAUUGGCUAGGAAAAGCUAUGAUCCAAGUACAACUAUAUAUAUAUAUAUAUACACACCAUGUACUAAAUUUGUUCUGAUUUUGUAAUAUAUUUUGUUCAUCUGUCCUACUGGAUUUUAAAAUAACUGUCUCCUUAUUCUUAUCUGAUAUAUUUCUUUUAUAUAUCAAAGAUGAGUAUGGUAAUUGCUCAAUCUGCAUCCAAAUUCAAGAACCACUUCCUAUUUUGUUCUAUUCUCUGGCAUAGUCCCCAGUGUUGAUUAAGCAACUGAACAUGCCAAACACCUCUCUUAACUCCCGAGCCUUAAUUUUCUUAUUAAGCAGCACUAAGUUCAUGUCAACAGAAAGAAAAAAAUAAUAAUAUAAAGUGCAAAAAGCUUAUAUGAUAAUAAAACUACCUACUCUGCUUUUUUUUUAACCCAAAAAAAAUUUUAAAAAAAGAUUCUCAGCCUGUAACUAAUUGCUCUUUCUUUUUGCCACAUCCAUUCCCUUUUCCAACUUAUUAUAAGGCUUUGUUAAGGAUUUUAUUAUUUUGAAUUUGGGUCUUGACUUUCAUCAUACUAUUUAAAAAAAAAAGAAAGAAAAAACACGCCAUAACUUUUGACUUUCUUGCCACGGGUGAUGGGACCAAAACAGUAGUUAUACUACUUCCAAAAUGACUAAACUAUUCCUUUGUCCGAAGGGUUUCCAUUCUCUGAUCAAUUUUGGUUGAUAUCAUAGGUUCUUGGGACCAGUUCGAGGUUGGGGUCACUUCCCUUCACAAGUUGUUGUAUGUAUAUUGCCUUUGAAGUUCUGUCAGCCAAUCCAUAACACAAACGAAUUGCAUUGAUGUUGAUAAUAACAGCCGCCUGUUUGAAGCCUGAAGGAAAUUCUAGUGGUUGUGGUCAUGUUUCAUAAGCAUUAAUUAUAAAUUAAUAAGGAAUUUUUUUUAUCCCUCAAUUAAAUUUCCCUUCACAAGGAAAACAUGUUUAUUAAAACGUAUUGCAGUGUCGUGCACAAAAGAAAGGAAUAAACUAUAGUUUUUACAAAAGUCAACUAUUUGGGUUGGAUUGGAGUGUUUGAUUUUGUAAAGAAGUUCCUGUAGCAGUUCAGAAUUACAGAAAAUUUUCCUUUGCGUAGCAUAAAGGAAAUGAAUAGGAAUAAUUUUUGUAAUCUCUAUGAAUAAGAGCACACAAUCCUGUGUACGGUAAAAGCUAGUUCGUUCCAGUUCUUGUUAGGCAAUCUUCCGGUUCUUCUUAAUUUCCAUCAUCGAGCCUGUAGGAAUCUACAUGCUUUCAAGCAUUCAAAGCAUUCAAAGCCUCCAGUAAGUUAAUUUAGGUAUGGCAAUCUAAAAUGGGUUUUAUUUUAUCUACGGCGUAAGUAAUAUGAGCGGCUCAGAGUUGACUGACGACUGGAUAGGCUAGAGUCUGAAGUUAUCUACUUAACUUAAUCCCAAUUUUUAUGGUCACCAUGUCUUUGGUAAGAUGAUAUGACCAACGCACUGUCCCUUGUGUCCUUCUCUUCCAUGCUUGUAUCAGAGGAUGCGGUCCAUUGAUUUCACUUCCAAACCAAGUUGACGAAACAGAAGAAGACUUUCACCACGAAUGCUAGGCCCCCAGAGUUGCAGCAAGAGACAAAGGCAAAAUAUUGCUUGACAAUGAUUCAAGACAGUGAAACCAGAUAUAGCAGAGUUGGAAAAUUCAAUUGCCAGAGGAUGCAAACAAUUCUGAUUGUUUGUCAGCUUGACAUCUUCUUGUUGGUACAAAGUUGCUUUUAUGUAAUAUGAAAGUGAAGGCCAAAACUUGUUCAAAAAGCAGCGCCAAGCUCGCAUUCAUGGUUGACAAACUAUAAGCAGGUGAGAUCGAAAGUCAGAAAGAUUCUUAUUUAAGAUGACAAUACAAAACCAGCCAAAUGCUAACAAGCCAAAAUUUGGAUGUUGGUCCCAAAUAUUUGAUCUCCACUAUUAUACAUCACCUUUAGACUUUUAGCUCUCCCCCUGAUCUAUGCUCUCAGGUAAGAGUCCACUAAAAUUUUGGGCAAAGGAUAUUGUUCUUUCCGUUAUGCUUACUGUUUUAUUAGGGGAAUGGGAACUGCAGCUAUGGAUGAUUAUCUCACUAGUUGCUUAAGCUAUAAUGCACCACGAUUAUUAUGGCACAUGCAACAAAUCAGAUUUGGCUUUUAACAAAGUGGUAUUCGGAAUUAAAUAUUAUAUAUAUAUAUAUAUAUAUAUAUGUAUAUAUAUGUAUAUAUCACAAUUUUUUCUUAAAGAUAAAAUAAAUGUUAUCAUGAACCGGAAUAAGAACAAAAAAAAUAUACUAUAAGUUAAUAAAGGAAUUAUAAGCAUAAGGAAUUGUCUAGUUUCACCAACAUUAAUCCAGCAGGCUUAAGAGAGACAAGUGUAGUUUGUGAAACUAAUCCAUUGUUCUACAAAUAAUUAAACAGUAGUACUAGCAAAAAGGUUUGUGAAUGGAGGAAUAUUUGUAAGUUGCUGUCAAUAUCUUUCUGAUAAUGGCUUUAUUGGAGGAAAAGAAGGUUUCGAUCUGGCUAGAAACCAAACUUUUCAGCUAAAAACGUUGAUCAAGCAGCCAAUUGUUGAACACUUGUGCAAUUCUAAACCCCAUUAAGUGAAAGGAUGAUGAGACAGGUUGUAUGGCAUUAAUUUUAAAAUGGGUUUGCUAUCAUUAUUUUGUACUUGUAUAGGGAGUUCGGACUAAAUGAUUUACCUCAAGAAUAAGUGCAAUGAAGGGACGAGUUCAAUAAUCAAGGAUUCAAUCCAAACUCUACGGAGGGAAAAGGCUGCAACAAAAGUGGUGCCUCACAAUAAUUCCUCUGUUUGAGGUUUAUAAUUACCAAAAAUUAAAUGUGUAAUUUCCACCGUGGAAAUUACCAAAGCCACCCGAGCAUUAAUUAUCAAAUUCCUAUCCAGCAUGAUCAGAUAUCCCCAAAGCCACUAUUUGAUUGCCUUGUACAAAUUGGAUGUAACCAUAAUCCUUAAUUUAUCUUUUUUAUUCUUUCACUUUUUCCUUGACAUUUAAUAUCAUCAAUAAUCAUAAAUUAUCUGAUUUUUUUAUUAAAAAAAUGAAAUUUUUUUUAUCAAAACUGGAAAAAGGUUAAACAUCUAUAUGCAUAUGCAUCUAUUUAAGCUUUUGAGGUAUUAAAAAAGUUAUUAGAAAUAAGUGUAUUUAGAUUUCAAAUGAAUGAUUUAAAUUCUGAAUAAAACAAGUAGGGCUGAGCAAAACUAAUCCAGACCAAUUAUCCACUCGAAUCAAAUGCGAUUUUGAUAAAAUGGUUCGGUUUAAUUGAUCAAUUGGAUUAAUUGAUCUAAAAUAUUUGGUCCAAUUGGUUUUUUGAUCAGUUCUCGGUUUUAAAAUUUUUGGACCAAUCCAUCCAAAAAACCAACUAAUUUUUUAUAUAUUUAUAUAUAUAGUCAUAUAUAUAAUUUUUUUUAUAUAUUAAGAAGAACUGAUUGUAAACUUAAUUAAUAAUAUAUUUAAAAUAUAUUAGGGUAUUGUAGGUACAUAUACAAAUCAUAAUCAUAGUAAUUUAAUAUUAGUUAUAUAUAUAUAUAUAUUUAUUUAUAAAUCUAUAUUAAUAUGAAAUUACAAGUUAUAUAUUUUAAAUGAUAUAAGUUAUAUGUUAAUAUUAUAAUAUUUGAUAGUAAAUAUCCUACAUAUUAAUAUGUUAUAAUUAUUACACCUUAGUAAUGUUUCAUAAUGUAAAAUGGUAUGAAUAUAUACAUAUAAUUGUAUAAAUAUAUUAUAUAUACAUAUACAUAAGCAUUAUUAUAAUUUAUAAUAAACUUUUCUUAUAUGAUUAUAUUUAAUAACUUUAUUAGUUAUCACCUUAGAUUUUAUAGCAUACUGUUUAUAAUUAGUUAUUAUUUAUACAAAUUUUGAUAUAAAAUAUUAUAANUUUAUAAUUAGUUUUUAUUUAUACAAAUUUUGAUAUAAAAUAUUAAAACAUAUAAGUUAUAUCAUUAAUUAAUUUCAUAUAUACAUAAUCAUAAAUGAAGUUCAUAAGUUUUAAUAUUAUAAUUUGUAAAAAAAGUGAUAAAAUUUUGAUCUAUUGGUUCAAAACCGAACCAACCUAACCAAUUUUAUAUUUGAUCGGUUUUGAUUUUUUAUUAUAUUUGAUCAGUUUUAGUUGGUUUUUUAAAAAUAAUUGGUUCAUUUGAUCCUUAAGUAUGGUAGACCAAACUAUCUAAUCCACCUAUUUGCUCACUCCUAAAAAUAAGUGUAUUUGUAGGUGUAACCAAUUAAUCCUUUUCCAGCAAAAAUGGAAUCUUCUAUAUGAUUUUUCUUUCCUUUCCAAAGUAGUAUACUAAUUCCUUUUAUAGAUAAAACUUUGGUGUAUAAUGUUUUUUAACUUUGAAACAUAGGUUUUUGAUGUAAAAUUAUAUUGACAUAACCAGAUUAUUAACUUGGUCAUCUCGAGAUAGAGCAAAAUUAAUUAUUUUGUUCCUAAUAAAAAAUAAUUGCUUUGUUUUAUCAUGAUCCCAAUUUUAAUACAUAAGCUAGAUUUAGUUAUAUUUGCCGUAAAUUGAAAAUCUGAAAUCCAUGUGUCCCGGCCCUUCCCAUUUACAGAUAACAAUGCUAAAAAAUAAAAUAAAAAAAUCUAAUUAAGAUUAUUGAUAAUCGUAUCCCUUAAAGACAAAUCUGAUUAAGCAAACCCAAAACCCAGAUCAGAUUGGAAAUCUCAAAUAUGGAAAAUAUAGUUAGGACUUACCAAAUCCAGUCCCGGAAAGAUUAACCAAAGUAGAAAAAUAAGGAGCAAUUGUAGAGAAUAUGCCACUUUGGAAAACCAAGAUUCUCAUGUAAUCAUUUCUUUUCUUCAACUCUAAAAUCUCCAUGAGGGUAAAUGGGAAAAAGAAAAAAGAGAGCGUCCAUAGCAGUUAAAUACGGAACCAACUCCCCUCUCAUCCUUCCCUUCUAUCCAUCACGACCCAACUCUUCUUCUUCUUCUCUCUCUCUUUUUUCUUUCUUUCUUGCAUUAGCUUAUUAAACCAUUGGAAGCUCUUUUUUUAUACACAUAUAUUACCGGACUUCUUCUUGUUCUUGUCUAAAUUUCCUCAGCAGUUUCUCUCCCUUCAUUGGUUUGCACAUUCAACGUAAGCUUUCUCUUGCUCUAAAGUCAUGGAUUUGAUAUGUGGUAAUGAGUUUUGAUUGAAUCGUAGAUGCUAUUUGAUCAUGGAGUUUUUGUUUUCUUUAUCUCCUUUGGGGUCAAAAUCUUUACUUCCUUAUGUAAGGCUGUGUGUUGCAUAGAGUUUCGAGAUACGCAAACGAAAUCCAGAGUCCUAAGAUUUGAGACUUUUCCGUUUUCUUUUAAUUAUUGCUCUUCUACUAGGAUUCUCCUCUCUCUCUCUCUCUCCUCUUUUACCCUGCAGGUUUUUAUUCUUUCUGGUGCUAAAUCUUUUUCAUUCUUCGUUAUGAUUCUCUCUCUAUUUGAGGUUUUAGCAAUCUCCACGUGAAGACAUUCAAUUUUGUUUUCCAUCAUGGUGUUCCUGGUAGGGGCGGGGGGCAGUUCAACCUGAGUCCUUUAUUAGUAUAAGUUUUUUCUUGGUACAUCAAUUAUUAAGUUUGAACCAGAUUGCAAAACUUUCGAGUGCAAAUCUUUUCACUUUUUGAUGAUUGCUAGGAAGGAGAAGAAAGCACGAAAGAAUCUUUCUGUCAAUCCAAAAUUUUUAGUUUAGUUUUUCUUGUCGAAUAUCCUAAAUUGUAGUUACAAGCUUUAUUUAAUGGAAAUAUGCUUUUUUGUUAAACCCUUUUGUAGUAUCUUAGUUACACUUUAUUGACCUAAGACUUUGUAUUAUAGUCUCGGUCAUUUUGUCAUCACAUUUAUUUCAUUUGUCAUCUUCUAUCAACCUUAGCCUCUUGAAACUCCAUACAUCCUCACGAUUUUGGAAAAGGACUGCCUUGCCUUUCUGUCUUUUUUUUGUUUCCUUGCACCUUCACACAGUUCACAUGACUAAUAGUACUGACUUCAGCUUUCAUCAGAUAUACAAUAAUUGGCACCACCACCAUUGAUCAUAUGUUUUAUUUUUACUUUUUGUAAAUAUAUCAGUGCAUAAAUUGAUAUUUAAUUCGGUUGUUGCAAUGCUUUCAGUGGAAAACAAACAGAUAGCAUAGCAAAGACUUCUGAUCAGGAGGAAUCGUCAUGGCAAACGACAAACUGCAAGUUCUUAAUGCACUUGACGUAGCCAAAACACAAUGGUAUCAUUUCACAGCAAUUAUCAUUGCUGGCAUGGGAUUCUUCACUGAUGCAUAUGAUCUCUUUUGCAUUUCCUUGGUGACUAAAUUGCUUGGUCGCAUAUAUUACCACAAGGAAGGUGCUGCUAACCCUGGUGAUCUUCCUUCUAAUGUAAAGGCUGCUGUUAAUGGUGUAGCGUUCUGCGGUACCCUUACAGGCCAGCUCUUUUUUGGCUGGCUAGGUGACAAGAUGGGACGAAAACGUGUGUAUGGCAUGACCCUUAUUCUCAUGGUUAUCUGUUCGGUUGCCUCUGGGCUUUCCUUAGGCCAUGACCCAAAAGCUGUUAUGGCUACCCUUUGCUUCUUUCGCUUCUGGCUUGGUUUUGGUAUUGGUGGUGACUAUCCUCUUUCUGCUACCAUCAUGUCCGAAUACGCUAACAAAAAAACUCGUGGUGCUUUUAUUGCUGCUGUUUUUGCCAUGCAAGGUUUUGGGAUUUUGGCUGGAGGGAUGGUUGCUAUUAUAGUUUCUGCAGCUUUUAAGGCUAAAUACCCUGCUCCAACUUAUGAGAUGGAUGCAAAUGGGUCAACCGUGCCAGAAGCUGAUUACGUUUGGAGGAUCAUUUUGAUGUUUGGGGCGCUCCCAGCUUUACUUACUUAUUACUGGCGCAUGAAGAUGCCUGAAACUGCUCGUUACACUGCCUUAGUCGCCAAGAAUGCAAAACAGGCUGCAGCAGAUAUGUCAAAAGUUCUUCAGGUUGACUUGGAAGCAGAACAGGAGAAGCUAGAACCAAAAAAAGGGAGUGAUUUUGGUUUGUUCACCAGAGAAUUUCUUCUUCGACAUGGGCUUCACUUGCUUGGUACCACAAGUACUUGGUUUUUGUUGGACAUUGCCUUCUACAGUCAGAACCUGUUUCAAAAGGACAUCUUUAGUGCCAUUGGUUGGAUUCCAAAGGCAAAAACCAUGAACGCUCUUGAAGAAGUUCAUAAAAUUGCAAGAGCGCAAACUCUCAUUGCGCUAUGCAGCACUGUUCCUGGAUAUUGGUUCACUGUGGCAUUGAUUGAUAAGAUGGGGAGAUUCAAAAUUCAAUUGAUGGGCUUCUUCUUCAUGACUGUGUUCAUGUUUGCCUUGGCAAUUCCAUACCAUCACUGGACUCUACCAGACAACAGAAUUGGGUUCGUUAUUAUGUACUCCUUAACCUUCUUCUUUGCAAAUUUCGGUCCAAAUGCCACUACAUUUGUAGUCCCCGCUGAAAUUUUCCCUGCAAGGUUAAGAUCAACAUGCCAUGGAAUAUCAGCUGCAUCAGGUAAGGCAGGGGCAAUGGUGGGUGCAUUUGGCUUUUUGUAUGCUGCAGACAGUAUUGGAGUGAAGAAAUCACUUAUAAUUCUGGGCUUCAUUAACUUGCUGGGGAUGUUGUUCACAUUUUUGGUACCCGAAUCAAAAGGGAAGUCACUGGAAGAAAUAUCUGGGGAAGCUGAGCAAGAAAAUGGGACAGAAACACAACCUGGGCAGCAGGAUAGUAAUGGUGUCCAAAGUGUACCAGUUUAAUUAAGCUUUGUAAUGUUUUAUUAAUUACUAUGAAUCUUCGAAGUCACAUUAGGGAGUGUAUUUAUGUGUCUUAUAUAUUGGAGCUUUGGAUGCUGUUUGCACUUCCUGCAUAAUAAUAUAAGAUUCUUAUAUACACUAUUGAAUGUAAACAUCUCUGGAAUACCAUUUUUAAUAUCUUUAAAGUUGUUGAUUGGAGAUUUCGUUAAUAGUUUAGUUUAGCGUUUGAAGAAGAAAAAUUGUGUGAUCCAACCCUAUUUGAUGAACACAAUCUUGAAGAAGAAGCCCAUCAAUUGAAAUCGAAAUAUGUUUGUACUCUAGAGCCUAUCCAAAAAAGGAAUUUGGAUUUUAAAAUCCAAAUCAGUGGUCUCAAAUCCACAACAAUGCAUUCUCUUGUUCUAACUUGUUUUAGUGCAGUCAAAUGAGUUCGUACAUUUAUGUCAUAAUGUCUGUUUAUAUGUAAACAACUACGUUUAUAGUAUCAAACUUAGUUAACCUUACUGUUUUUAUAUUUUAAUAGUUUAACUUACAUCAAUGUUCUCUUACAUAUGUCUCCUAGAGUCUGUCCAUUGUUGUUCGGAAGGCUACUAGUUUUUGGCCUCUGUGGCCCGGUGCCUACACCUUGAUCGCUAUGGGAGCGAGCUUCUUCCGAAGGCAACCAAGAGAGCAAAUGGAAAAGAUGUCAACCCUGGCAUUGGAAGCAUUUGCUAGCUCUUGAUUUGCCAUAGGAACAGAGAUUAGCCAGCUAGUUAUUGUCAUGUUAGAACCGAAGAUAAACAUGACAAAAAAACAGAAAGAAGCCUGCCUGCUAGAAUAAACACUACCUCCCAUGUCAUAUUACUGUUGAAGAGACUAUUUCAAUGCAACUUGUUAGGAACCUUUCAUUCACAAUUAAAACCAGUCUUAUAUUACCUAACAUCAACAAGAAAACAAGUAAGUUUUUCAAUGGAGUAGGGUGCUGCAGUGAAAACAUCUUUUGAGAUUAAAGCAUGGAACGCGUUCCAUAUGACCAACAACACCAUGGGCUCUAAGCCUCAGCGAAUGGGCUUGAAGCAACAAGCAGGAAUGGUCUAGAUGAAAAAUCUUUAUGCAUUGAUUUUUAUUUAUAUUUUUUUUCUUACCAUUUCAAAAUUGAAGAGAGAAAUAAGGGAUGAGUCACACCCACCACAUCGAAGACUUUUCGUCACUUGAAAAAUAAAUUAUGCAAGUACGGAAGCAGAGGAGAUAUUUUUAUCUUUGAUUUGUUAAUCUUAAUAUUUCUUAUGGUAUUUCAAAAAAUAAAUAAAUAAAUAAAUAUAGAUACAGUCGUGGGUACAAUCCACCCACAUGCUCCAAAUGGUUUUGUUCGUUAGGAGAUUUCGUAGAUUUCUCUGAUAUUACACUGUUUUUUUUUUUAUCUUUUUUCGAAACUAUUUUUAUUUUCCUUAUGUAGUUUUCUUUGGAUUAAACGUGUUUUUUUUUCCUCCUUUGAUAUUUUAGCGGAUGAAUGAUUGGUGGAUUCAGUUUUCCUCCCUUGAGGAAGUAAUUGAUGUAUACUUCUCCUAUUUUCUUAGCUGAAGGAAAUAGAAAGAAGGAAAAAGAAGAGAAAGUAAUUGAUGUCCACUUCUCUGCUUUUCCUUUUCACAUUCUUCUCAUUUCUUAUAUUAUAAUAAAAUUAUAAUUUUUAUUUUAAACUUUAAAUUAUAAAUAUAUAUUUAUUAUCAUUAAGAGUAUGGGAGCAUUUAAUCUGUCUUUUUCCUUGUUAAAAAUCAUCAUCACAAAAAAUUGUUUUUUAAAAUAUUUAACAUCAGCAUAAUAAUAAUAAUCAUAUCUUUAAUUUGUUUUUCUUAUAGAAUAUUCAUCACAAACCUCGUAGCUUCUCUACAAUGCUUCAGCCAUGGUUUCCCCUUUUCUUCCAAUUGGUCUUUAUUUUCUUUUUUAAUAUUAGCAAGGCGUAUGAGCAGAGGGUUAUAUGAUAAUAAAAAGUGGAAAAAGCUUAUAUGAUAAUAAAACUACCAACUCUGCUUUUUUUUUAACCCAAAACAAUAUUUAAAAAAAGAUUCUCAGCCUUUAAUUAAUUGCUCCCUCUUUUUGCACAUCCAACCCCUUUUCCAACUUAUUAUAACGCUUUGUUAAGGAUUUUAUUUUUUUGAAUUUAGGUCGUGACUUUCAUCAUACUAUUUUUUAAAAAAACAAAAACAAGAAAAAACACGCCAUAACUUUUGACUUUGCUGCCAGGGGUGAUGGGACCAAAACAGUAGUCAUACUACUUCCAAAAUGAAUAAACUAUUCCUUUGUCGGAAUGGGUUUCCGUUCUCUGAUCAAUUUUGCUCUUGGGACCAGUUUGAGGUUGGUGUAACUUCACGUCACAAGUUGUUGUAUGUAUAUUGACUUUGAAGUCCUAUCAAUGUCACACUCCAAUCUUGAGGUACGACAAACGUCAUAUAUAUGUAAUAUAUAGUCUUAACAGAUAUAAAAAGCUUCAAUAUAUAUUUUAUUUAAUAUUAAUUAAAAAAAUUAAAAUAUUUAAAAGAUGUAAUAAUUCAUAAAACUAAAUUUAUCUGUAGAAAUUUAAAAGAUUAUAAUUCGAUAAUAUUUAAAAUUAAGUCUCUAAAACCAUAAAAUUAACGUGUCAAAAUAAAAGUUUGAAUAAUAAUUUAAGAUAAUUCGAUGUUCAUAAUAUUUAAAUAAAUCUUAAACAAUUUAAAUACUACUAAAUUAAACAUUACUCUCUGAAAUUCUCGUAUGGUUGAUCAAAUCACAACUUAAAAUAAUUUGAAGGAAUGAGUGAAUCUAACUACUUUGCAAAUAACUAACAUCCUUUCAGCCGGAUUAAGCAUACUUAAUACAUUUAGGCCAAAGUGUCAUUAAUAUAAAUAUCAAAAUAAAAUAUUAAGUAAUCUUAUUUAAAAUCAUAUACUUCAAAAUUUAUACUUUCAGAUAACAUAACAAACAUAUUUCAUAAAUAUUUUAAAUUUUAAUGGUCUUUUGUAAAAUGCUACGACUACACUUAACUCCUGUGGCAUAAGUUAAAAAUAAAUUCACAAUUAACUCCGAUGGCACGGGUCAGAAAUAUAUCAAAAGCAACCAUUAGCUACACUGAACAAAUAUCAUAAUAUCACUAUUCUAUAACUGGUGGUGCAAUUAAGAAAUCGAUUUUUAAUCAUAGACUACAUGUCUACAUGGCCAAUAUUUAACCCUCAUUGGCAAGGUCAGAGUAUAGCCAUACUAUGAGAUAAAACAGAAACAUAUUUUUUUAGAUUAUCCAAAUUUCAUAAAAUAGUAUAUUAACUUUCUCAAACAUAUCUCAUACACAUCAAAAGCAUAUUCGUUUCAGAUUAAAUAUAUAUAUUUAUAUUCACGAAACAUAUAUACAUACAUUAUACAAAGUCAUACAAAUUUCAAAAUCAGAAAUCAUGCUUUGCGUAAGCUAAAUUCUAAAUUCAACAUAUAAAACUCAUAUACAUAUACAUUUUGCAUGCUCAACCUGAUUUUAAUGAAUCAUAGAAUAAAAUAUCAAAUAUCAUGUACAAAUUCAUAUUGAGGCUAAUUUUUAGUGUGUUAAAACACUAAAAAGAUAUCAGUCACUUAUUUGAUUUUGUCAAUUUUACUUUCAAGCAACAAAUUAAAAAAUCCUCUUAGUAGCCUAAUAUAACAAGAAAAUACAUACAAAAUCAUAACUAAAUUUGCAAACAAAUGCUACAAGAUGACUAUCGUUGGCCAUCCUAAACACUUAGGGUGUGUAGCGAUUUUUAUUACAAUUUAAAAACAUUUUCGAUUAAUAAGAUAAUAUUUUAUUAUUAUAUAUAUUUUUUAAUUAAUAAAAUUUUAAAUAAAGUUGAGAAUUUAAACUUAAAUCAUACAAUCAGUAAGGAUUUUAAUUUCCGAUAGAAACAUAAUUUCAUUCAUAAAAAUCAUAUUUAUAAUUUUUCAUUAAUUUUUGAUAUUUUAAUAAAAUCUACUAAUUUAAUAAAUAAAUUUAUAAAAUAUAAAGAUAUAUUCUUUUAGAUAUAAAAAUACAGUAAAAAACACAUAUCCAAUCUACAACAGAAUUUAUUAAACAUUAAUUAAUAAUUAAAUUAAAAAAAAUUAUUUUCUGAAAUUUUUCAGAAUCUAGAUAGCCAUUUGGCCUAUUUUGAGCCAUUGUAACUCCUAACCCAAAUUGUUUCCAGUGGUAAAAUCAACACCAAUUUGAAGUAUUCAUAUCAUAUUGCAUCACCAAAAUUUGUUUCAAUUAAAAAGAAUACAAAAUUCCCAAGUUUUGAAAGCCAAAAUUUUAGAAAUCAUCACAAAAAUAUCUAAAUUUUUAAGUUUUCAGUAUCAAUAAACUAUUUUGAGGCUUUAAUUCUCUUAACACAAGAAGCCCCUAAUCGAGCCAUUAAUAUCAAAUUAAACACCUCAUUUCAUACUACAAAAGCCUUCAAAGAGACGACCUAAAAUGUUACUAGAAUAUGAAGUUUCGGUGACCCAAAUUUGGUUUAUCAAAACUAUUAAAAAUCAAGUCUCCAAUUAACUUCGAAAAUUCGUAUUUUCUUAACCACAAAGCCAAACGAGAUGUUACAAAAACCAUUGAAAAUAUCUUUUCAAUAUCUUUCCAUUGGUACCCACCAUGCCACUGGAAAGUCAUCAGAAGAAUAUCGAGUUUAAAUAAAAGUUAAGAAAAUACAAUUAACUUAGGACUUUUGUAUCCAAAUUAUGAAAAUUACAACCCUAAACAUACCUUAAUAAGCAAUCCCUUAAAUACAUUUUCCUUUUCUCUAUCUUUCUUCUUCCUUCUGACUGACUACUUAUCUUUUGAGAUAAAUUAGUAUGAGUUUUCUGCCUUUUCUUUUAAAACUUAUAAACUAACCCAACUAUAUUAUUUUUUUUAAACGUAAUUUAGUGAGUUACUAUCUGGUAAAAUAAACUGACAUUUACCCCACUAAUUUAAACGUGAUAAAUAAAACUGACAUUAAUUAAACUUUUUUAUUUACUUAAAGACCUUUUUUCUAUUUUUUUAAUUAUUAAGGCAUCCAGGAUUAUCACUGUAAAUAAAUAAAAUAUUAAAACAACAUUUACUUAUUUAUUUUUAUAAAACUAUAAUUUAAUAAAUUUAAAUAUUUUUAUAAUAUAUACUUUGUGAGGAGUAUUACAGUCAGCUAAUCCAUAGCAAAACGAAAUACAUUAAUGUUGAUAAUAAUAGCUGCUUGUUUGAAGCCUGAAGGAAAUUAUAAUGGUUGUUGUCAUGUUUAAUAAGCAUUAAUUAUAAAUUAAUGAGGAAUUUUUUUUAUCCCUAAAUUAAAUAUCCCUUCACAAGGAAAAACAUGUUUAUUAAAAUAUAUUGCAGUGUCGUGUACAAAAGAAAAGUAUAGACUAUAGUUUUAAUAAAAGUCAACUAUUUGGGUUGGAUUGGAGUGUUUGAUUUUGUAAAGAAGUUCCUGUAGCAGUUCAGAAUUACAGAACAUUUUCCCUAGCGUAGCAUAAAGGAAAAGAAUAGGAAUAAUUUUUGUAAUCUCUAUGAACAAAAGCACACAAUCCUGUGUACGGCAAAAGCUAGUUCGUUCCAGUUCUUGUUAGGCAAUCUUUCGGUUCUUCUUAAUUUCCAUCAUCGAGCCUGCAGGAAUCUACAUGCUUUCAAGCAUUCAAAGCCUCCAGUAAGUUAAUUUAGGUAUGGCAAUCUAAAAUGGGUUUUAUUUUAUCUAUGGCGUGAGGAGUAUGAGCAGCUCAGAGUUGACUGACGACUGGAUAGGCUAGAGUCUGAAGUUAUCCACUUUAACUUAUUCCCAAUUUUUAUGGUCACCAUGUCUUUGGUAAGAUGAUAUGACCAACUCACUGUCCCUUGCGUCCUUGUCUUCCAUGCUUAUAUCAGAGGAUGCGGUCCAUUGAUUUCACUUCCAAACCAAGUUGACGAAACAGUAGAAGGCUUUCACCACGAAUGCUAGGCCCCCAGAGCUGGAGCAAGAGACAAAAGGCAAAAUAUUGCUUGACAAUGAUUCAAGACAGUGAAACCAGAUAUAGCAGAGUUGGAAAAUUCAAUUGCCAGAUGAUGCAAACAAUUCUGAUUGUUUGUCAGCUUGACAUCUUCUUGUUGGUACAAAGUUGCUUUUAUGUAAUAUGAAAGUGAAGGCCAAAACUUGUUCAAAAAGCAGCGCCAAGCUCGCAUUCAUGGUUGACAAACUAUAAGAAGGUGAGAUCGAAAGGCAGAAAGAUUCUUAAGAUGACAAUACAAAACCAGCCAAAGGCUAACAAGCCAAAUUUUGGAUGUUGGUCCCAAAUAUUUGGUCUCCAUUAUUCUACAUCACCUUUAUACUUUUAGCCCUCCCCCUGAUCUAUACUCUCAGGUAAGAGUCCACUAAAAUUUUGGGCAAAAGAUAUUGUUCUUUCCGUUAUGCUUACUGUUCUAUUAGUGGAAUGGGAACUGCAACUAUGGAUGAUUAUCUCACUAGUUGCUUAAGCUACAACGCACCACGAUUAUAUAUGGCACAUGCAACAAAUCAGAUUUAGCUUUUGACAAAGUAGUAUUUGGAAUUAAAUACUCAUAUAUAUCACAAUUUUUCCUAAAAGAUGAAAUGAAUGUUGUCAUGAAUCGAAAUAAGAACAAAAAAAGAUAUACAAUAAGUUAAUACAGGAAUUAUGAGCAUCAAGAAUUGUCUAGUUUCACCAAUAUUAAUCCGGCAGGCUCAAGAGUGACAAGUGUAGUUUGUGAAAACUAAUCCAUUGUUCUACAAGUAAUUAAACAGUAGUACAAGCAAAAAGGCGUUUGAAUGGAGGAAUAUGUGUCAGUUGCUGUCAAUAUCUUUCUGAUAACGGCUAUAUUGGAGGAAACGAAGGUUUCGAUCUGGCUAGAAACCAAACUUUUCAGCUAAAAACGUCGAUCAAGCAGCCAAUUGUUGAACAGUUGUGCAAUUCUAAGUCCCAAUAAAGUGAAAGGAUGAUGAGACAGAUUGUAUGGCAUUAAUUUUAAAAUGGUAUCAUUCUUUUGUACUUCUACAGGGAGUGCGGACUAAAUGAUUUACGUGAAGAAUAAGUGCAAUAAAGGGUAGAGUUAAAUAAUCAAGGAUUCAAUCCAAACUCCACGGAGGGAAAAGGCUGCAACAAAAGUGGUGCCUCAGAAUAAUUCCUCUCUUUGAGGUUUAUAAUUAUAAAAAAUUAAAUAUGUAGUUUCCACCGUGGAAAUUACUAAUGCCAUCAAGCAUUGAUUAUUAAAUUGCUAUCCAGCAUGACCAGAUAUCCCCAAAGACACUAUUUGAUUGCCUUAUACGAAUUGGAUGUAACCAUAAUCCUUAAUUUAUCUUUUUUAUUCUUUCCCUUUUUCCUUGACAUUUAAUAUCAUCAAUAAUCAUAAAUUAUCUGAUUUUUUAUUAAAAAAGUGAAUUUUUUUUUUAUCAAAACUGGAGAAAGGUUAAAAAUCUAAAUGCAUAUGCAUCUAUUUAAGCUUUCCAGGUAUAAAAAAAAGUUACUAGAAAUAAGUGUAUUUAGAUUUCAAACGAAUGAUUUAAAUUCUGAAUAAAACAAUUGUAUUUGUGGGUGUAACCAAUUAAUCCUUUUCCAGCAAAAAUGGAAUCUUCUAUAUGAUUUUUCUUACCUUUCCAAAGUAGUAUACUAAUUCCUUUUGCAGAUAAAACUUUGGUGAAAAAUGUUUUUUAACUUUGAAACAUAGGUUUUUGAUGUAAAAUUAUAUUGACAUAACCAGAUUAUUAACUUGGUCCAAUAAAAAGAAAACCAUCUCGAGAUAGAGCAAAAUUAAUUAUUUUGUUCCUAAUAAAAAAUAAUUGCUUUGUUUUAUCAUGAUCCCAAUUUUAAUACAUAAGCUAGAUUUAGUUAUAUUUGCCGUAAAUUGAUAAUCUGAAAUCCAUGUGUCCUGGCCCUUCCCAUUUACAGAUAACAAUGCUAAAAAAUAAAAUAAAAAAAUCUAAUUAAGAUUAUUGAUAAUCAUAUCCCUNNNNNNNNNNNNNNNNNNNNNNNNNNNNNNNNNNNNNNNNNNNNNNNNNNNNNNNNNNNNNNNNNNNNNNNNNNNNNNNNNNNNNNNNNNNNNNNNNNNNNNNNNNNNNNNNNNNNNNNNNNNNNNNNNNNNNNNNNNNNNNNNNNNNNNNNNNNNNNNNNNNNNNNNNNNNAAUGCUAAAAAAUAAAAAAAAAAAUCUAAUUAAGAUUAUUGAUAAUCAUAUCCCUCAAAGACAAAUCUUAUUAAGCAAACCCAAAACCCAGAUCAGAUUUGAAAUCUCAAAUAUGGAAAUGAUAGUUAGGACUAACCAACUUCAGUCCCGGAAAGAUUAACCAAAGCUAGAAAAAUAUGGAACAAUUGUAGAGAAUAUGCCACUUUGGAAAACCAAGAUUCUCACGUAAUUAUUUAUUUUUAAAUGGGAAAAAGAAAAAAGAGAGCGUCCAUAGCAGUUAAAUACGGAACCAACUCCCCUCUCAUCCUUCCCUUCUAUCCAUCACUACCCAUCUCUUCUUCUUCUUCUCUCUCUUUUUUUCUUUCUUCCUUGCAUUAGCUUAUUAAACCAUUGGAAGCUCUUUAUCUAUAUAUAUAUAUAUAUAUUACGAGACGUCUUCUUGUUCUUGUCUAAAUUUACUCAGCUGUGUCUCUCUUUCUUUCAUUGGUUUGCACAUUUAACGUAAGCUUUCUCUUGCUCUUAAGUUAUGGAUUUGAUAUGUAGUAAUGAGUUCUGAUUGAGUCGUAGAUGAUAUUUGAUCACGGAGUUUGACUUCUUUAUGUAAGGCUGUGUGUUGCAUAGAGUUUCGAGAUACGCAAACGAAAUCCAGAGUCCAAAGACUUGAGACUUUUCCGUUUUCUUUUAGUUACUGCUCUUCUACUAGGAUUCUCUCUCUCUCUUUUUACCCUGCAGGUUUUAUUCUUUCUGGUGCUAAAUCUUUUUCAUUCUUCGUUAUGAUUCUCUCUCUAUUUGAGGUUUUCGCAAUGUCCACGUGAAGACAUUCAACUUUGUUUUCCAUUAGGGUAUUCCUGGUAGGGGCGGGGACAGUUCAACCUGGGUCUUUUAUUAGUAUAAGUUUUUUCUUAGAUUAUUUUUAAAAAUAAUAUUUAAAGAUAAGAUAUUUUUAAAAAUAGUUCUCUUUAUAAUUUAAUUAUUUUUAGUUAAGUUUGACAAAAUUAUCUUUAAUGAAAUUACACAUCAUAAUUAGGUUGUUAUAAGUUAUAUACAACCAUAGUUAAAUUGUUACACGUUAUAUAUAAAAAUAUAUUACACGUCAUGUAUAAAAAAUAUUAUUAUUACACAUCAAGUACAAAAACAUGUUACACGUUAUAUUAGAAAAAUGUUAAUGUUCCACAUUAUGUUGAAAAAAUAUUAUUGUUAUACGUCAUGUUGAAAAAAUAUUAUUAUUAAUGCCUAAAAUGUUGUUACUUAUAAACUAAAACUUCAAAUUCUUUCAACUCUAUUCAUUGUUUUUUGACAAUUUGGCACCGAUUAAAAUAUUUCUAACAUGUUUUCAUAAUUCAAAACACAAAUUUUCUUAUCUAAAAUAUCUAUUUCGAUUAAAAAUAAAAAAAAAUUUCUUAGAAAACUUAGGUUUAUAAUUUCAAAUUUUUGAGUAUAUUGGUCUCAAAUUGAUCCAAUUAAAAGUUAUUUCAAACAUCUGUGAUCAUUUCUACCAUUUUAGUUUUAUCCAAAAUACUUAAAAAUUAAAUUUUCCAAGCACAUCAAAAUUAUAAAGAGAAAUCUAAAAGUGUGGGAGAGAGAAAUUGAGAGCAUAGCAGACGAAUGUCGAAGAGAGAAAUCGAUAAAAUUAGAAAGAGCUUGAUGGUGAGAGAGAGAAAUCGAAAGCACAAAUAGAAAGAAAUUGUGUUAAAUGUUUUAAUUUAUUUGAAAUAGUUUCAAGAAUGUUUUUAUCAAGUUAUAACUAAAUAUGAUUAAAAAUAAUUAAAUUUAUUUAAAUAAUUAUUUUUAAAAUGCUUGAAGAUUAUUCUUCACAAUCUUUUUUUUUCUUGGUACAUCAAUUAUUAAGUUUGAGCCAGAUUGCAAAACAUUGAGUGCAAAUCUUUUCACUCUUUGAUGAUUGCUAGGAAGGAGAAGAAAGCACGAAAGAAUCUUUCUGUCAAUCCAAAAUUUUCAGUUCAGUUUUUCUUGUCAAAUAUCCUAAAUUGUAGUUACAUCCUUUAUUUAAUGGAAAUAUGUUAUUUCUAUUAAACUCUUUUGUAGUGUCUUAGUUACACUUUAUUGACCUAAGACUUUGUAUUAUAGUCUCGGUCAUUUUCUCAUCACAUUUAUUUCUUUUGUCAUCUUCUAUCAACCUUAGCGUCUUGAACCUCGAUACAUCCACACGAUUUUGGAAAAGCAUUGCCUUGCCUUUCUAUCUUUUUUUUGUUUCCUUGCACCUUCACACAGUUCACAUGGCUAAUAGUCCUGACUUCAGCUUUCAUCAGAUAUACAAUAAUUGGCACCACCACCAUUGAUCAUGUGAUUUAUUUUUAAUUUCUGUAAUUAUAUUAGUGCAUAAAUUGAUAUUUAAUUCUGUUUUCGCAAUGCUUUCAGUGGAAAACAAACAGAUAGCAUAGCAAAGACUUCUGAUCAGGAGGAAUCGUCAUGGCAAACGACAAACUGCAAGUUCUUAAUGCACUUGACGUAGCCAAAACACAAUGGUAUCAUUUCACAGCAAUUAUCAUUGCUGGCAUGGGAUUCUUCACUGAUGCAUAUGAUAUCUUUUGCAUUUCCUUGGUGACUAAAUUGCUUGGUCGCAUAUAUUACCACAAGGAAGGUGCUGCUAACCCUGGUGAUCUUCCUUCUAAUGUAACGGCUGCUGUUACUGGUGUAGCGUUCUGCGGUACCAUUGCAGGCCAGCUCUUUUUUGGUUAGCUCGGUGACAAGAUGGGACGAAAACGUGUGUAUGGCAUGACCCUUAUGCUCAUGGUUAUCUGUUCGGUUGCCUCUGGCCUUUCCUUAGGCCAUGCCCCUAAAGCUGUUAUGGCUACCCUUUGCUUCUUUCGCUUCUGGCUUGGUUUUGGUAUUGGUGGUGACUAUCCUCUUUCUGCUACCAUCAUGUCCGAAUACGCUAACAAAAAAACUCGUGGUGCUUUUAUUGCUGCUGUUUUUGCCAUGCAAGGUUUUGGGAUUUUGGCUGGAGGGAUGGUUGCUAUUAUAGUUUCUGCAGCUUUUAAGGCUAAAUACCCUGCUCCAACUUAUGAGAUGGAUGCAAAUGGGUCAACCGUGCCAGAAGCUGAUUACGUUUGGAGGAUCAUUUUGAUGUUUGGGGCGCUCCCAGCUUUACUUACUUAUUACUGGCGCAUGAAGAUGCCUGAAACUGCUCGUUACACUGCCUUAGUCGCCAAGAAUGCAAAACAGGCUGCAGCAGAUAUGUCAAAAGUUCUUCAGGUUGACUUGGAAGCAGAACAGGAGAAGCUAGAGCCGAACAAAGGGAGUGAUUUUGGCUUGUUCACCAGAGAAUUUCUUCAUCGACACGGACUUCACUUGCUUGGUACUACAAGUACUUGGUUUUUGUUGGACGUUGCCUUCUACAGUCAGAACCUGUUUCAAAAGGACAUCUUUAGUGCCAUUGGUUGGAUUCCAAAGGCAAAAACCAUGAACGCUCUUGAAGAAGUUUAUAAAAUUGCAAGAGCGCAAACUCUCAUUGCCCUAUGCAGCACUGUUCCUGGAUAUUGGUUCACUGUGGCAUUGAUUGAUAAGAUGGGGAGAUUCAAAAUUCAAUUGAUGGGCUUCUUCUUCAUGACUGUGUUCAUGUUUGCCUUGGCAAUUCCAUACCAUCACUGGACUCUACCAGACAACAGAAUUAGGUUCGUUAUUAUGUACUCCUUAACCUUCUUUUUCGCAAAUUUCGGUCCAAAUGCCACUACUAUGAAUUACUAUGAAUCUUCGAAGUCACAUUAGGGAGUGCAUUUAUGUGUCUUAUGUUGGAGCUUUGGAUGCUGCUUGCACUUCUUGUGUAAUAAUAUAAGAUUUUUAUAUACGCUGUUGAAUGUGAACAUCUCUGAAAUGUCAUUUUUAACAUCUUUAAGAUUUUUUUUUUUAUAAUUGGAGGAGAGGGAUUCGAACCUUAUUUUUUAGGCAAAGAGAUUAUGCACAAACCAAUAAAUCAAAUACUUGGGUGCUUUAACAUCUUCAAGGUUGUUGAUUGGAGAUUUUGCUAAUAAUUUAGCUUAGCAUUUGAAGAAGAAAAAUUGUUUGCUUCAACCCUAUUUGAUGAACACAAUAUUGAAGAAGAAGCUCAUCAAUUGAAAUCGAAAUAUGUUUGUACUCUAGAGCCCAUCCAAAAAAGGAAUUUGGAUUUUAAAAUUCAAAACCGUGGUCUCAAAUUCACAACAAUGCAUUCUCUUGCUCUAGCUUGUUUUAGUGCAAUCAGAUGAGUUCGUACUUUUAUGUUAUAAUGUCUGUUUAUGUGUAAACAACUAUGUUUAUAGUAUCAAACUUAGUUAACCUUACUGUUUUUAUAUUUUAAUAGUUUAACUUACAUCAAUGUUCUCUUACAUAUGUCUCCUAGAGUCUGUCCAUUGUUGUUCGGAAGACAUUUGAUUGCUAUGGGAGCGAGCUUCUUCCGAAGGUAACCACGAGAGCACAUGGAAAAGAUGUCAACCCUGACAUUGGAAGUUCUUGCUAGCUCUUGAUUUGCCAUAGGAACAGAGAUUAGCCAGCUAGUUAUUGUCCAUGUAGAACCAAAGAUGAACAUGACAAAAAAAACAGAAAGAAGCCUGCCUGCUAGAAUAAACGCUUGUUUUCCUCCUUUGAUAUUUUAGCGGAUGAAUGAUUGGUGGAUUCAGUUUUCCUCCCUUGAGGAAGUAAUUGAUAUAUACUUCUCCUAUUUUCUUAGCCAAAGGAAAUAAAAGAAGGGAAAAUAAGAUAAAGUAAUUGGUGUCCACUUCUCUCUUUUUCCUUCAUAUUCUUCUCAUUUCUUAUAUUAUAACAAAACUAUAAUUUUUAUUUUAAGCUUUAAAUCAUAAAUAUAUAUUUAUUAUAAUUAAGAGUAUGGGAACAUUUAAUCUGUCUUUUACCAUGUUAAAAAUCAUCGUCACAAAAAAUUGUUUUCUAAAAUAUUUAACAUCAUCAUAAUAAUAUUCCUAUCUUUAAUUUUUUUUAUAGAAUAUUCAUCUUUGAUAUUUAAUUGGUAAUUGCAACAGAAAAUAUUUUAAUAUAACUACGGACGACGGUACGGCCCACCCACGUGAAUCAAAUGGCCUUUUUGUUUUUAUGUUCUUUUGGGAGAUUGACAGAUUUCUUUGCUUUACACUGCUCUUUCUGUGAAUGCCACGUACUUCACAUAAAAAUAUUUUGUUUCCAGAAAACGUGUCAGAUGAAAUUAUUUUCUUUUUUUUUCUUUUUUCAUUUGUUCUGAUUACACGUGCUUUCUUUUCUUCCCUCUAAAUUUGAUCUUCGUUUUUUUUUUUAAUUUAUAAAAUCAUAAGUAUUAAAUUUUUUUUAAUAAUUAUAUCAGAGUAUUUGAUUCAUUAGUUAAUAUAUGAUCCCUGUUUAAAGAGUAAAAAUUCAAAUCUUCCCUCUCUAAUUAUCAAAAAAAAUAAAUUUCUUUAAUAAUUGUUUUAGAUUAAUAAUCUAUCUAUCUAUAUAUAAAAUAGAAGAUCUAAAGGAUAGAGUGUUAUGAAUUUCGAAUGAGUUUUGAAUUUAUAUAUAAAAAUUUUCAUUUAUCUGAUAAUUUAUAUUUUAAAUUAAAAAUAUGAAUUCAUGAUAAUUACAUCAUGUUAUCAAAUAAUUAAAUUUUAUAUUGAGAUUUUUUUUAUUUUUACGAGAAAUUUGAAAUCAAAAGAAAAUUCAAUUUUUGAGUUUCAGGUCUUGGUGAUGUGCUACAAUCAGGAGAAAAAAGAGAGGCAAACUGAUUGAUUAAUUAAUUGUUUUUCACUUUCAACAAAAAUGGAGUUAAAAAGACAAAAACACUGAAAUUCCCCUUGCUAUUGGAUCAAUCCAACCCCUACGAUCCUUUCCAAAUCUAUGGCCAAUAAGAUUGAGACAUAAAGAGAGAAAGUGCUCGGGACUGAUGGGUACAACCCAACGCCAUCACAAUAAAGUUUUUGGCUCCAAUGCACUGGCUACAAACACGAUGUUUCUCCCACUAUCCCAAUGGACACUCUGUUUUUACCAACACCAUUGCCUUACACAAUUACACAAUUGAGAUAAUAACUAAAGAUUUACAGAUAAAAAAAAGAUUCAAAAACGGAUUAGUAGAUAUUUAGAAUUAGGUUAAGAGAUUCUUCACGAUAAUUUUUAUUGAAAACUCCGAAGCUUAUCCUUCGCAUACAUCAUUAGGGUAUUUGCGAAGAACAAAAACACCCACUUCCAAUCAGUAAUUCUCAUUCCUUUGUCAUUUAGUUAUACACACUCUUCUCAAGCUUACCAAAAACACUCGCCUCUUCUACGAAAAGAAGAAAUGGAGAAGAAAAAACAAAGCUUCCUUGGAAUUAACAAAAAUUCAUCCCCUUUUAACCUCUAUAUACAAUACAGUAGCAAAUACCCCUUCAAAUAUUAAGGCCUUGAGAAAAAAGCUUCGAAAUUCAGCCUCCAGUUGUUAUCCAAGGAUGCCCUGUAAAAUUUAAAACAAAUUAAAAUUUAAAUUCUAAAAAUUAAUGGGUAUUUUUCUUCUUUCCCUAGAAAGAAGAAAGAAAGAGAAACUAAUAAUUGGAACAUGUGGAAAUUUGAGCUUACUUAGAACUUGUUCAGCAGAGAAUCUUCUAGAAACAUCUUUGCAGAGCAUUUUUCUCAGAAGAUCCUUAGCCGCCGGCGACACCGAUUGGAAGACCCUGACAGGGAACCUCAGAUUCCCUCUCAAAACCGCCUCAAAAAUCUCCACAACCGUUUCCCCAUAAAACGGUGGAAACCCCGCCAACAUUAUGUACAGAAUGACACCGCAACUCCACACAUCAACUUUCUCCCCGUAUUCCCUCCCGUUCAAAACCUCCGGCGCCACGUAAUACGGGGUCCCCACCACCCCUUGCAUAGCCUCCGCCGCCACUUCAGCGGAACCGAAGUCCGUUAGCUUAACGGAAUUUUUGGAAUCGAACAGAAUAUUCUCCGGCUUGAUAUCACGGUGGACGAUGCCGAGCUUGUGAAUGUGGGCAAGGGCUUGGAUGAGCUGGGUCAUGAUGGGUCGAGCUUGGGCUUCCGAGAAGGGACCAUUGUGGAUGAUGAGAUUGUAAAGGUCUUGAGAAGGAGGGCAGAGAUCGAGGACCAUGUGGAGAUGAGAAUCGUCUUCGUAGAGGUUGUGGAGGUGAAUUAUGUUCGGGUGAGGUGAAACUAAAGCAAGGAUUUUCGGCUCGUUGAAGAGACAUUGGGAGUCAAGAGAAUCGCCGGUGGAGAUUAUACGUUUGUCGAUGGAUUUAACGGCGAAUGAUUCGCCUGAGCUCAAUGAAACGCACCUGAAAACGACGCCGAAUCUUCCCCGGCCGAUCUCUUCGCAAACCUCGUAGCUUCUCUUCAAUGCUUCAGUCAUGGUUUCCCCUUUUCUUCCAGUUGGCCUUUAUUUCUUUUUUAAUAUUAGCAGGGGGUAUAAGUAGAGGGUUCAAGGAAUGUUUGGGGAAUAUUCGGGGUAGCGAAUAGGAAGACGACACUUGCUGGGAUCGAAGGGUGGGAGAUACUGUGACCGUUUGUAGACUUUGGAUCCGAAAGCUGAAGUCGGUUGUCAAAUGGAAUUACGGGAAUGCCCCUAUUUUAGUCGACGUGGAAUAUCCGUACAGGAAGAAGUCCUUUGGCUUUGGGUUCGGUUUGGCAGUUGUAUGGUUCGAGUCGUAGUUAGAUACUUUUGGGUUAGGAAAUUUGGGAACAGCAUCCCGCGAAGUGGGGGCUGUUCUUAAGUUUGCCCAAAUAUUUUCGCCUUAAUUACCAUGUGUGCCAUCGUUCUCGAAUACAAAAACAAAUUAAUUAAUAAGAAUUUAUUAUUAUAUUAAAUGUUAAUAUUUGAUUUGAUAUCAUGUUCGAAAUAUUUUAGAUUUUCAAAAUUCUUUAAUUGUUUAUUUAAUUUAGUUUUAAGUUCUUUUAUAUUUUUUUUAUAAUUAAAGAGGAGAAAUUCAAAUUUAUUUUUUAAUUAGGAGGAUAAUGCACUAAGCAAUGAGUCAAAUACUUGAAUGCUUCUCUAUAGUUUAUAUUCUUUAUUUUUCUUAUAAUUACCCAUUCCUUAUUUAAUCUAGUUUAAUUAAUAAAAUUUUUUCAAAAAGGUAUAUUAAUAGCAUUGCAUGCUGAAAAAAGAAAGUAUCCAAUAAAAUUAAGGAAUUCAUUAUAUUUGAUGUGACAAAUUUGUGAAGGGCAUAAGAUCAUCAGUAAUUGAUGAAACUUUACUUAUAUGUGGUUAUGACUUGAAUAAUGAGAACAAUGUCAUCAUGGUAUUUCUAUUUCUCUCUUUUUCUUGUUAGGAAUUUUUUUUUGGAGAGGAUUAUAUUAGUUAUUUGGUUUAUAUUGGGAGUUUAAAAAUCUUCUGUCACUAAAAAAGGAAUUUAGAAUCUUCAUAAAUAAGUUUGAGUUAAUUUUGAAUUUUUAUUGCGUAUCUUAUCCAACUGAAUAUGCUGAUUUUAUAAUUUUUAAUAUAUAUUUUAUUUAUAAUUAAACAGAUACAUGGUAGAAUAUAAACUUUGUGAAUCUAUAUACGAAUGGAUUGAUGGAACAAGUAUUAUGACUAAUUAAUUAGGACAAUAUAUCUAUUGCAAAAGAAAAUUUGAGGACUACCUAUUAAUUAAAUGAAAGCCAAAAAAUUUUUUUGUGUGUUGAUAAUGUUAUAAACCUGUAUAACAUGAUGAUAAUUUAUCAUAAUAAGGCUUGCAUUGGAAUAUCUACGGACUUGAAUGAUCAGAAGGUAUGACCAUCAAUAUUUUGUUUGUUUCUUUUUUUGGAAAUUGCUUGGUAUUUUCGUGACAUAUGGGGGGCUAGGGCCACCACUCAAGUCAUGAAAAGUCAGGUGCUAACAUGCAAAGAUUUGUCUCCCAAACAUGAGCUUACUGUUGGAAAAUGGCUUGACAAGUGAUGAGUUCCACAAUAAUUUCAAGCAAGAAAAAUAUAUAUUCCACCUCCAUUUACCAGAAGAAAAGAAAGAAAAAGCAUGGAAUCGACCAAGUAUUGCUGUAUGAUUCAGAUUUUUUGUGUGGAUCUAGCCAGCACUUCCAUGCCUCCAAAGCAAAGUUUCCUUUCAUCUUUUUAUAGACACAAAAAAAAAAAAAAGGACCGUGAAAACAUCACAAUUCUAGUUAAAGAAAUUGCCACUAGGGAUGACAAUGAUGUCUUGCCAAUUGCCAUGUAGGAGAGACAACGCCAAUGUCAAAAACAAUUUCAGACCAUUUGAAGCUUUUUGGUUGGAGCUCAUUACGGGCAAACGAGCGCAAGUGGGGCACCUUUAACCAAAGAAAUCUGUGAUGAAGUCGUGAGGGAAGGGACAUGAGGCUUUGCUUUUCAUUGACUUUUCGAGUAAGCAAGGGGUGUGUAACACACAGUCACCCAUUUCAUAUAUAUAUAUAUAUCUAUUCCUACGGAGUCCGGACAAUGUAAGGUAGAAGGCAAGGACGAUCAUAGAAAUACGAAAUGGGUAACUGUGGGUUAAAGAGUUGGUGUAAUGCUUUCGUGCUUGGACCAUUCACCAAAUUUUGUUGAAAGAAAGGAAGAAGGUAAUUGAUUACUUGGUGGACAAAUGUCAAAAUUAUUCUAUUCCUCUUUUUCUAAUCAAUUAACAUAGAUUACGUUUUCUUUUCAUAAAGAAAAAGGAAGAAUGGCAGAAUUACAAGGCUGUUUGGGGCUUACGCCAACAAACAAAUCAUAAGAACGCAGAUAAUUUCUUCAUACUUUGUUUUCCAGCUCCUCCGAGAUGGGGAUUUCAGUGUUCUAAUAGAAGCUAGCUAGCUUCUGCAUCUUGUUUUCGUAACCAAGAGUCAGCUUCCUUUGAAACUGUGGAAUCUUUUACACGUAAACUUGCUCCUCGUACAAGUUAACAAGUCAACAUACUAGACCUGAUUUCACGACCAUGAACCAAAAUCCCAAUUGGCUUAUGUCCAAUUUCUUUGUUAGUUUAUGACUUAGCUUCAGAGAAAUUAAUAAAGUCUUUAAGACUUCACUGUCACUCGCCGCAUUGCGUCCCCAAUUGAAAAUUUAUUUCGAAAGUCUCAACGUAGAGACCGAGGACCCUAGUCCAUGUGGAUUGACAGACCUAGGAAGCUCAGCACAAAGCAAAAUAUCCCACUAGUAAUAAACUACUUUUAUGGCCAGCCUGAUUGUUGUCAUUCUUGUCUCCUACUUCUUUCUUACUUUCGUCUGAGGACAACAAUAUGGUGAGUCAUACAGCAGUUUCCAGUGAAUUUCCAUGCGAGAUAAUGUUUUGAUGGGGUCACUUUGUUUUUUUCCAUGUUUUAUCAUUGUAAUUUACUGGCAAAGGAUUGGCAGUGCUUUCAUGUCCACCAAAAACCAAAGAUUUGUACAGAUCAAUGACCACCCAUUUUUACUUGCUUGUGUUGUUUGCACCAACGUUAAUUGACUGCAAUUCCUCAAUUUAAAAUGGUUAUAUAUGAUUCCUUUUGGAUAUAUAGUUGCUCACGUAGGCACCAUGCCGCUUCUAGCAGUAUAACAAGGACAAAGAACUAGGAUUAAUAAACAAACAAACAAAAUCCCUCCAUGGAAUUAGUGUCAUGGUGAGUCAUCGAACCAUUCAUCGUAUUUCCACGAAUUUCAUUUCAUUACCUAAUCCACAUUCUGAUUGGCUUUGUCUUGAUCUAGCAACCCUUAAUCAAAAUCCAAUUACUUAAUUUAAACAAAGUAAUCUUAAUCAGCCAUUGAUAAUGUCCUUGGACGGCCUUUGUCGUAACCAAAAUUCUAAAUCCCCAGAAGAUACCAUACGUUAGUAUGAACACAGUAUUUCCAGCUGUCGAUUAAUGUGUUGAUAUUUUCCAGGAAUGAAUUUUGUUUAAGCAAGCUGAUGAUGAUGAGGUUUUUGUAGUUUUAUGGCUGAUUGAUGAGGUUGGAUUCAAGGUUUGACAUAAUUUAUCAUAGAUAAAACUUUUGGGGACAAAAACGUUUUCCCUACGAUACUUAUUAAAAGCAAUCAACCUUAGAAUUAUUGUCCACAAUAUUAUUAUAAUUAGUAUUUGCAUACGCUAAUUGACAAAAUAGUCAACUUACUCAAACAAAAGGAUUCCAUUUUGCUAAUCUACGCAACUUCUUGGCUGGAAAUUAGCAAUAAAGACAUUUUAGAAUAUGUUAUAACUCGAUUAUGCACUCACAAGACAAGAGCGGAAUUAGGAGUUUUUCUUAGUGAUGUCAUAUUUUAAAUUUUUUUUUUCAAUCUUAGAUUUAUUGAGGGAGUACUCAGAUCAAAUUCAACAUGACUUUACUUAGAAGAAUAUUAUUAAAUAUCAUGGUUAGUAGAAUUUUGUUGUUAUUAUUCAGGAUUUGAGUCUUGUGACACAAAUUUUUUUUAAAAUAUCUUUUCAUGAUUUAUUUAUUUAAAAGUAUAAAACUAGUUAAAAAUUACUAUUCAUUAGUAAAAAUUAAAAUAUUAAAAUUAAAUAAAAUAUAAUUUUACAUAAUAAAUUAUCAGGUUUAGUGACUAACAAUAUGACAAUUUUCUAUUCAUUAAUCAAAACUAAAUAUAACCAUCCACAAACCACAUAAAGUUUAAUACAAAAAUCAAAUAAUAUAUCUACAAAAUAAAUAAAUAUAAAGAAAGACUCACAAUUUCAAGAUAUUAUUUGACUUGUAAUACUAUAUUUUCUAUUAGUUGGAUUAUAAUUAUGAAUCCAAAUUAUCAAACUAAUCAAGAAAAUAUUUAGACAUGAAGUAUUUAAAAACUUAAUUUGGGUUGAAAAUUAUUUACAAUUGAAGUCUAGAUGAGUUGUUUUGACAGAAUGAAAAACACAUUUCGAGGACCAAGAAGGGGAAGGAUUUGAAUUGUUAGACAGAGAAAGUAGUUUAAGUUUUAACUUUUUUAAUAAAAUCUUAAAUUAUAAAAAAAAAAAAUUUUAUCUUUCCUUACAGUAUUUAAAUAUUAAUACAUAAAUUACUUAAUUUUUGAUAAAUCAUUUUUACUUGGAGUCUUUGACCACACUUCUUGUAAAAUUGUAAAAAAAAAAAUGAGUUCAUUAGUAUAUUAACUACCCUAAAUCUCGAAUAAAUUGUGUAAAAAUUAAAAUAUUUUAAGAAGUGAGUGGUGUCAUGUGACACCACUCCUUCCAACAUGGGUCCGUCAAUGCUGCAAGGUUAAUUACGGGUUUACAAUACUUUCAAACAUUUGAUGAUGAGUUUUUUUUUUUCCACAUAUACUGUAAAAAAAUUCUUUUAUUUAACUAAAACGAAAAUGUAAAUGCAAUCACACUCAAUGUCAACUGUUUUUUUUUUUUUUGGUCAAUAUGAUAGCUGACUAGGCAAGUCGACAUGAUCACAUGACAGAUCCAAAACUCAAAAUAACCUUCUCUACUUUUCUUUAAUUGGAGUAUUUUUUCUAAAAUCCUCUUCUUUUUCUCCAAGCCUGGAAAAAUAGAAUAUUUAAAUAUAAUAAAAUUUCAAUUUUUUUGAAAUUUAAAGAAAACAUGUUUUUUUUUAAAAAAAAAACUAUUCCAAUUAAAGAAAAAAAGGAGGAGAGAAGUGGAAAAUAGUUUCUUUUUAGUGAUACCGAUUACCGAUAAUUUUGAGUUCUGAUUUUGUCAUAUGAUCAUCUUAUCCAAUUAUGUCAUAUAUCACGUGAAUAAAAAAUAUUAGUUGACAUUGGGGUUUGCCGACAAUUAAUUUUUCAUUAAGAUUAAGAGUUUAUUUGAUUUAAAUUAAAAAUUGAAAAACUGUUAUGAACCCCCAAUAAAAAAUUGAAAAGCUUAAUUGAAUAAACGGGUGUAGUACAUAAACAUUUUUAAAAAAUUUAAACCUUUUUUAAUACAUUAGGAAGAACACCAAUUAAUAAGCAGAACAAAUUUUUUUAUGCGGAGUUUGUUCGAACUUAAUUUAUAAUGUUAUUAUGUGGACUACUAUAAGGGGUAAAAACAUUCAACUAUCAUUGUAGUUAAACAGGUUAUUUUCAGAAUUUAAUGUUUAUUUUCUUACUCGAAAGUUAGAAUAAUAUGUAAUUUCGUAAAAUGUUUCCCCACACAUAAAGGGCCCAGCAGAAAUUGGGCUUAAGCCGACCGUUCUAGACCCGCAAGCCGAGAACAUCCGCCCACCGUUACCCAAAAUGAGGCCCAAUAUGUGGCCCACUAAGCCCACUUCCGUUGUUAGUGAGCAACUCCCACAGGUUGGGAGACUGUUCAAUUUUCUUUCCCCUCCUACCAAAUAUGGUCUUAUGAUCAGCGUAGAGACAGUUGUUUUGAAUGAAGUGCAGUCGGUAGAACCUGAUGCAAUACGACCCAAACUCCAGAAAACAGAUGUGUGAGGGCAUAAUUUCUCACUCUCAACCUGCAUCAGAAUGCAUUUGUACAUGCGGCAUUUUUUGGCCUGUCUCUAUCAUUCCAAGUAACUAUGUAUGCAACCAUUCCUCAUAAACAUGGAUUGACUGAUCCCAGAGGCACAAAAAUACUAGAUUUCAUAAACCACAACAACAAAACUAAAGUCCAUCAAGUGCAAAACAGCUUACUAGACUUACUAAAUGUCCUGGAUUACAUUCAUCAGAGGUAUAAGAGGGUAGAUAAAAGAUAAAGACAGCUUUGUUUAUUUGCUACAAGACCUAACCUUAAUUACAUACGUAUAAACUUGUUUGCAAGAACGUAUGGGUGGGAUCGUUGUAUACUAGGAGCAACAGCUAAAAGGGCAGGAUAUGCAGACAGCCGAUUAGAGCAUGUGAUGGGAAACAUUGAGUUAGACGGGCCAAAAUGAAACAGAGACCUCUUUGAUUUUCUUGAUCAGUAGGACAUUGCCUGGGAAUAGGAGAGAGAUACCGGCACUAUUAUCUCAUAGCUCCUGCAAAGUUCAUAGUAUGAAAUUUCAACAGAUGUUUUUGAAGUUAGAAUGACUGACGUUCCUAUGUUUUUCUCUCUAUUUUUUGCCAUGAAAAAGCCAUUCUGAGAUAAUUUCAUUUGAAGUCAAGCUGAAACUUUAUAAAAAAUCGAUCUGAGGGCUUAAUUUCUUAGCACAAUAAUGCGGAUUCUUUAAUCAUUAAAAUGGUUUGAAACAGCAGUAAUAGGCUUGGAAAAUUUGGAUCAGAUUCAUUGGUUGGUACAUAAUCCCCCUGCCUAAAGAGUGGGGUUCGAAUCCCCCCUAAUUAUUAAAAAAAAAAAAUGGUUUGAAACAGAAGUUAUAGGCUUGGAAAAUCUGGAUCAGUUACAGGAACAGCUUUGUUAGUAGAGGUUUGACAACAUGAUUUCUAUUCUCUUAGUUUCUCCCCUUCUAUAUUCAACAUCUUUCCAACUUUACAUAGCAAAGCAACAAAGACACUGCAAUCUUAGAGUAAGUUUGCAAAUGGAUAAGAUUUGUUGCACCAUCAUAUUUUCUGCUAUUAGCUCUAUUCCUUUGCUUUAUUUGUUUUCAGAAAGUAUAAACCAAAAUGGUCGUGAUGAGAACAAAACACAGACAGCAAAAUAUUAGUUUAGCAUACUAGUUUACUUUUCCAGUAAAAUGCAGCAGCAAUGCCCAUAACCAAGCAAGCUGUGGUUUGUUUGAAGUGUUGAAUGAUUGAAGGAAGUGUUCUGAAUAGCCAUGAACAAAUAUGAUGUACUUACCAAAACAACUUAGCUAUUUUCUUUUCUUGAAGAGUAGUUUAUUGCAGGAAAUUACGGAAUAUUGUUCAAGGUCAUGGAUUAGUAUCAUAUCAAAAUUUCUAGUGGUCAUUUACGUGAAAGUACACUAAUUUCACUUACAUCUAUCAUGAUCGUAAUUCAUGACACUUUGGCUCUUAUAAAAAGGCUUAAGUUUGCAGCUUGGAUCAAUCUCAUAUAUUAGACAGAUAAUCAAAAGAACUAGAAACGGAUGCAAGGCUUUGCAGCUUCUCAAGUAGCCAAACUAUAAAUUAACUGCAGUUACUUACUGUUUUUGCUUGAAGUCUGAUCCAAGUCAAUCUUUUCUUGCCAUGAUCGCCUCAGAUCAGAAGAUUCAUACUCCUGCAAAGGUCUGCCAUCAGAUGAAGAACAAGAUUGGGGAACAGAGAAUGAGAUUCUGCUAGUACUCUGCCCCUUCGAUGCUGAAGAUUCAGCUGUCGAGCAUAAGUCUUCUUCUCCUCGUGAGGUCCCUGCUCCUUUAUUCUGAUUUUUCAAUUUAUCUGCAUUCAACCUUUCUUCUUCCACAUAUUUUGCUCUCUUCCUACGCGAUGAACCAUUGUUGCAAUUUUGAAAUGAUGGCACCCUCUGAUCAUUAGAUGAAUAUGUUGGACAAGAAGAUUUUUCCUUCAGGAUAACUUUUGGGAUGGCGGAAGUUUCAAUACCAUCAGAAUUAUCAAAAACUUCUUCACUCAUCCCAUCUGAAGUUGCAGCCUUUGCAGCUGCUUCCAUUUCCCACAUUUUAAAGAUGGCUUCAGUCAGAUGUUCCCUAGCUGUAUCCAUAUCUAUUAUAGGUUUUGGAUAGUUUAAGCCCAACUCAACACCUGCAGCUUUAAGCACAGUAGGAGGUGCAUCCCAAGGAUGAUGUAUCCACUCAGUUGGCAUCCUUGCUAGCUCUGGCAGCCAUUGCCUUACAUAUUCACCUUCUGGAUCAAAUUUGGAGCCUUGAAUCUAACUCCAAAAAUCAACAUAAAAUGAGGCCAAAAGAUAUGAAACAUAACUUAUAGAUUCAAUUGACAAGAUCUAUCUAUAUUUUUAGUAAUGCUUAUUAACACAAGUAAUUUUCCUCAAUUAGAAAAUUUGCCGACUGUUUACUAAUAUCAUUUGCUUUUGCAGAUUGGGAAUCAUUCUAAGGAAAGGAUCAUAUUUCAAAAGUUCGUAUAACAUAUUGUGGCAACUUCAAUGGCACAUCUAUAACUGAUUAUUUUAUUCAUUGUAAGGAUGAGUUUGCACUUUUAAACUAUCUGAGUAGGCAGAAAGUUAUGUUAGAUUUGCAAACUGCAACAGCAGUCCAAAAUUAGCAGGCCUUUACCUAUAUUUCCAAACACUGAAACUUGAUGAAGAUACUAACUAACACACACAACAUAAUCAGAUGCAAAUGAGUGUAAAAUCACAAGUUACUGUAAAUAUAAAAUGCAUGGCCUCAGAAUUGAAGGAACCGGAGAUAUUUGUUGUACUCUGCAUUAGAUUGCUACUUAUAUUCAAAGUUAAUAAAUUAAUUAGGGAACUCACACACCUGUGGGCUGUCUAAUCGUUCUAGCUCAUGACCAUCUGGUAAGCUCCCAGAUAUGUACUGCCAACCAAGAAUAUCGCAUUCCAAAUCUGCAUCCAAAAGUGUGUCCCAGAAAUACUUCAUUCCCCAUUUCCAUGGAAGAAGAAGAAACUUCACUGCAAAACUUGAAACAAUCACUCUUAUUCUGUUGUGUAUCCAACCAGUUGCCCAAAGCUCUCUCAUUCCUGCAUCUACCAAUGGAUAGCCAGUCCGACCUUGUCUCCAAGCCUUAAAAUGGUUCACAUCAGCAUGCCAAGGAAAAAACUUCAAGUUGCUCAACAAUGAUCGCUCAUGAGUGAAUGGAAAAUUGAAACAAAGAUAACGGGAGUAUUCUCUAAACCCAAUGGCCUUUAGAAAAAGUGUUACACUUUCUUCUCCUUGAGAGUUCUGUUCUCUUCUCCAUAGUAUCUGCUUCAUCCGUGCACACUGGAAAACUUUCCUUACACUUAGCUCUCCAAAAUGAAGAUACGGGGACAAAAGUGAUGUGGAGUUGCCCCCAACCUUUAGCCUAUUAUUUGAAUAGUUGAAUAGAUUCUGUUCAACAAACUCAGUUAGAGCCUUAUCAGCAUUGCUCCAACCUGGAGACCAUCCUCUUCCUAACAAUGCAUUGCUAGAUUUUUCAGAUUCAUUUUCAAGGCCCAAAUCUUCAAGAGAGAACCUUUCUACUGUUCCUGUCACUAAUAAGGAAAGAAUUCAGCAAAUAGUUACUCAUUUUGCAUGUAUACAUCACACACAGGUCCUUCAUACAUAUUUCAUCUUCGUUUUCGUCACAGUCCUUUGUACAUAAAUACAUAUUAACUUACACUGUGCAUGUUUUGCAUGACAACUUCAUAUGCAUCUAAGGAAAACAGUCUAUCAGCAGCUCAAGGUCAUAUUUUUGCCCCUAAGAAUGAACAAAGUCAUGACUUCUGUAGGCGGUAACAAGCAAAGAAAUGCAAUACAUAUACAUAUCUGUAAAACAUAAUUUCUUCAAGGAAGACAAAUUCUUAGCAGAAGACCAGGAUGAUGUGGUUGCCACUCGAAUUAUCAUAUAAAAAGAAGCAGAUCUGUCAUCUUCAUUUCAAUACUAUUGUUUUCACCAAGUUAGUUUCCAAACUGAAAGUUAAUUGUACAAUCAAGAAUGAACCACACUGAAUUACAUGAUAUUCUGUUUAAAUUUACCUGCAGCUGGCACCAAUCUCCACGGGGGAAGAAGUGGAAUGGGUUCGGUUUGCAUGUUCAAGCACUUGUCCCAAUAUGCAUCAAAGGUCGUAAAAGCUUGCCCCUUCUCAUCAUAUAUCUCCCAUGGUUCAUAUAACAAAUCGCCAUUAUAGCUUUGCACAGAAAUGCCAAUCUCUGCCAGUUUCUCUUUGAUGCCAUGAUCACGAACCAGUGAAACAGGAUCUGGAGAAGGACAGUACACGUGAAACCAUAUUACAAGACCUCUCAAAGAAAAUGAAUGGAACAAGAACAAAAUCCGGCAGCCAAACUUCUCAUCCAUAAAGGAAUUAUGUACUAAACUAGCUUCUGGGGGUAAAUAAAGAGUUGGUUCCAACUAAAACAAGAAAUUACUUGUGUUUACACAUGUGGAAAUCAACCAAAGCAGGGAAAUGUCAAGGCAUCACACCAGGACAAAGAAGCAAUUAGAUGUGGCAACUCCAGAAAGUAUCCUCUCCUAGGGAAAAGAUGAAAGAGAGGGAAACAAGCACUCUGCCAUGAGAAAUCCAUUACCAUUCUGAGAACACAAAUAAUCCAUGCUUAAAAUUUUCCUUCAACUUCAACGAGCAGUCGUUUUGCCAUGACAAUUGUGCCCCAAAAGGACAAGUAGUCAUUCUUUUUUGCUUCCUUUUGGAUGCAUGCUUGUGUAUUUCACCUUUUAACUCAAAAUAUUAGAUUGCAUUUGGCAAUAGUUUAAUUCUUAGACUCUAUUUUGCAGAUAUAUAAGCAUAACCAUGAUCUCAAGGUAAUUUUAUGAUGACAACUAUGCUUCUUGUUUAUUACUUCCAUCCAAUUUCAUUCUUCAAUGUCUCUGAACUUUUAAGCAACAGUUUUUCUCAAUUAAUUUUUAAACAUUUGAAUAGCUCACGAUUUAAACUAAACUUGUAACUAACUUCUAUGAUCUAUCAAAUUUUCCUUUUAUCUCCAAUGUCUCUGCUUAAUAUUUUCUCCAUUUUCAGGGGAAAAAAAGGAUGGGAAUGGGGACAGGAAAUUAUCUUCCAUGAAGACUAUCAUCAAGCUUCAGCAAGUAAGUUAAUGAUGAUGACAAGAUUGGAAGUCAAUAGGCGAAGCAUAAAUUAUCCAACAGAAGCUUAGAGUUUGAUUGAAGCAACUACAAUCUUGUUAGAAGCAGUAAGCAUGUCUAAUAGAGGCCAUUGCAGUUACAAUUAAUAGGAUUCCAGGGAUACCAAGAAAGAUAUCACAUCAGAAAUUCAAAGUUAAACAUGCUUCACUAAUAUAUAGCAAAUUAAAAUUUGUAUCAGUUUAAAACAGCAGCAUUGAUCAGAGGAAUCAGAAUAUACCAUAAAGAUGGUUAAAUACUACUUUUGUUGCCCCAGUAGCGUUGAUGCAAUCCAAAAGAGCCGAAAGAGUGCUUUGGGUCUUAAUCAGCACAAGUUCAGCCCCAAGAGACCUCAAGGACUGCUCCAAAUGAGCAAGAGAUUGCUUCAGCCACCAUCGUGAAACUCGACCUGGGUAGAACUGCCCUUCCUCUUUAGGGCACCAUAUAAAGACAGGAAAGACACUACCAUUCCUUGCAGCAGCAGCUAAAGCAGGAUUGUCAUCAAUCCUGAGAUCCCUCCUAAACCAGACUAUCGUUUUACUGCUACUCAUGUUGAACUAACAAGAUCUUUCAGAUAAGACUAAAGUGUUUGGAUUCAAAAAGAUAUAAAUAAUCUCUAUGUCUUUCCUUCAAUCCAACACAUGAACAUCAAAAAAGGUGUAAUUUGCACAAACUCCUCCAAGAUGGUUUUAUGCUACAAAGAAACCCAAACUUGAAACAAACUCAGAUUUGCUGAGCACUUAUAAAAUAUCUCAAUAGCAACUCUUGAACCCUAAACUUAGAAAUACUAGGUUUUGGCUAUCACAGUGAAAAUUACUUGUUGCUGCUAUAACCACAACAAACAGACUACACGGCUGUUUGCAACUUCUAUCCUGCUCUUAUGUGUCCAGGAUAUCCAACCGAGUCUUGCUUCAAUUAGGCCUUCCCUACAUGUCUCACCGAUCCACAACUCCACCAAUCAAACACCAGAACCUCUACAAAUUAUCUUCUACUCCAAGAAGUUGAUGCAGACCUCCACCAGAACCAGUAGAAUAGACAAGCGAAAACUCCACAGAGGAAGCAAUAGCCUUGUUGACAACAACCUCUUCAAAUCCAAGAGCACCGUUCUUGAACUUUCCUACACUCUAUAUACAGUGGAAGAUCAGAUUUUGUAUGAGUAAAGAAAACAGAUCCGAGACACCAGAAAGAGAAAUCAGUGAUUCCUUAAUAAUUCAUAUUAAAGAAUGUUAUCCACAAACAAGGACAACUAAAUCUAAAAAUAAAUAUAUAAAAGAUUAACCAGACCUAGUUUUUAUACAAAGUUAAUUGCUGAACUACUUUACCCCAUGUAGCUAGUAGCUAAAAACUCAGCAAAAACAGACAAAAAAUUAUACAGGGUUUGGUAACAAUUAUGAUUGAUGAUAUUUCUUCAUUACUUACAGUACAUUGUACAGUGACAUUCCUUUGAACAAAUGGAACUGGCAACGUCUUUAUGCGAAGAGAGUGGCUUGUGGAUCCUUAUUUGUGUCAAUAUCACGUGGGCUCGUAUAAUAUUGAUAGUGGUGGGUGACAUAUCUUGUCUGCUUUGUGGAUCAACUGUAGCUUCUCAAGAUAAGGUCUUUCUCUGUCUCAUUCAAUUAACACACACCCAGACACCCUCUCUCUCUUUCAGGGCUGUUGAGUAACUCUUCGGUCAAUAACAGUUUCGUCUUUUCCAUACCAGCAAAGGCUCUUUGUUAUAACUGUUAACUGAAGCAUAUGCAUUCAACAUGUUGGGGGUAACUUGCGGCUUCCCAAGUUUGUAACUGGUAUUUCUGGUGAUUUCAUUUAUUCUAUUUAGAAAGAUUUUUGCCUUUUUGUAAGCCUUGCAAUUUGCUUCGGUCUUGCUCUGGGAAAAACAGCUUUUAGUUGAACAGGACCACAAAGUGUGGACCUCAAUUGGGAAAGGGCGAAAAUGAGAGAAGAGCUUAAACACCCAGCAAGUUUUAAGUUAUUAAGCAUUUGGUCCCAUUUUCCUAUCUUCUCGUAGACCUUGAUGAUAUUAGACUUUUUAUCAUUAUCUGCCAUGAUCAUAUGCAGUUGAAACCUAAAAAUCUCCACCUAAAACCUAUCACUUCCGUCACAAUGAGUCCAUGACAUAAAGUAAAAUUUGCAUAUUUUGCAUAACUAAUUGCCUACGACAGUUGCAAUUACUGUCUACAUGUGAUAUGAAUGUUAUCCCCAUUGUAGCACUGCUAAGAAGUCAAAAGUGACCAAAUUCAUCCUAGCAUGCUAGCUUCUUUAUCACGAGGUUUGCAGAAGAUUGAUUUUCCACCGUGACCAAGCGACUUUCGCCCAUCCUUGUGGACUUUAAAGGCAUUACCAGAACGGGAGCCAAUAAAGAAACAAUCUUUCCUGUGUUUGGUAGACUAGUUCUUUUCAACUAUCAGAACUCCAUAAUAAAACAAAGCAUAGCAAACAAAUGCCAGAGGAUCGGUUCAAUCAAAACCAAAAAAUACUGGGCCCCGGUUGUUGAUUUAUUUGAUUCAGUGAUCGUGACUACAGAAAUUAUUUAUACUUUGACAGCCCUAUAAGACUACAAAAAUUUAUCGGAAAAGGCUCCGAUGAACAGGAGGACAAAUGAUUGAAAAACCAUUUCAUUAAUAAGAGUCAAGUAUCCAUAAUCACACCCAUUUUCACCUGAGAAGCAUCAUGGCAAUGAGGAGCCCAAAGUCCCAACAUACCUCAGAUGUUUGAGCCCCGAGCUCCAAAUCAGCCUUCCCAAGGUGUUAUUUAACGUUGACAAAUUCACGAAAUAUGUACUGUGAGAGACAGAUAACCGCACUUAAUUCAGCAACUAACUGAAGCAGGAAACCAUCCUAAAAGCAACUCUAGGGAGUUUCCUAAGCAUGUGAAACCCAUGAACGGGAGUGAAUGCUUAACGUGCACGCUCCCUGAUCACCUCAAGAUCCAUUUCAGUGGGGUCAGUUGCCUGGAUUUCAUAAUGAAUGCCCUCCAGUUCCCUCCUGAACCUGUCCUUCGAUGUUGCGUAAAGCAUCUUGGAACGGAUCCUUGAAACAGAAGGAGACCUGCAGAAGAACAUAAAGUCAGACAUGUAUACAAAAAAACGGAGAUGACAAAUAGAAAAAUGUGCACCAGUUAAUUCACUCUUGUUUUGUCUAACAAUUCUACAAAAAAUUCAACUGUCAACAGCAAGAAAUGAAAACUAAUUUCAUGAUUUUCCCAUCACCGCUUUGCACACUCAACCAAUUUUAAGUUUAUGAACCUUGAUGAGGAAGCAAAGCACAUAUUCUUGGCUCAAUAUUGCAUUACAUAAGCAAGGAAUGCACUGCAAAACAGGACCACAGAUGAAGCACCUUGUAAUCACUCAUAACAUUCUUUGCUUACGGAAGCAUAGAAGCCACCACAAAACCAACUCAACUCCAAAGUUGAAUCUUAUUUAAAUAUAUUACACCUUUUAUUAAUAUAAACUCCCUCUUUCUCAAUGCCAGAAGGAAUGGAAAAAAUAAUUAAGCUUCCAGAUCAGCUUGCCUUCCAGAAAACAAAGGCAAAAUUGCACGAAUCCAGUAGAUAGUAAAAACAAAAGAAAAAUCCAAGACAUCCUAGUUUUCUAAAAGUGUAAAGAACAGGAAAAUCAAAUCCAAAGAUAAUAAACAAAUUUUGUGAACAGCAACUGCAUAGAAGGAAAUCUGACUUGGGGUGAACAAGAACUAAUAUCCAAAGUAAAAAGAUGAUUUGAUUUUUGAUGGAACCUGAGGACAAAAUGUAAUCUCAUAAGAAGAAGUAUUUUUAUAUUCACAAACACAAAAGCAGCAUUGCAAGCAUGACAUCCAUGAAUUCAACCACCACCAAUAUUUGUUCCCCUCUCCAUAUCUUUGCAUGGAGAACAGAGAGUGCAAGUCAAAGGUUUGUACAUUAUUCAUGCAUCAUCAUCAUUUGUAUUUCUAGCAAACCUAACACCAUCUACAAUAACCCCAGUGAGGAACACAGUUCUAAGAAAGUCCUUAGAAAAACCAACAGAAUUCAAAACCUUAGGCUCCACAUAUUAACAAAACAUAAAUGAUCAAAUUUCAACCAAACGAUUAUUGGCAAACAACAAAGCAAUGGAGCUAUACCUAUAUGGAAAGGGGUCAAACAAUUGUAUUAACCAUAAACACCUCCAUUUUCAAUCAAAUUGAACUACACAAGGGGCAAGCAAUGGUAUUGAAGUUUCAGAAGCCAAGCAGAAAAAGAGAGAAAGAGGAGGAAAGAAAGAAUGAGGGUUUUAUAAACUUAUAAUUUAGAUCAGAUUCAGUAAGUUACAAUGCAAAUGUGGCACAAAAUUUUGACAGAAUUGAAUUAUUUUGCAAUUGAAAAAGAUACUGACCAUGCAAUGAAAAAGAUCUUGCUCUUCUGGCAGUUCUCAGAAGUCACAAAAUCAAAGUCAUAAACUGCAUAUCGGCAAUCAUUCUCAGGCAUUGAGGCAGUGAAAUCAUCAUAGCUCUCAGCUGGACCCCCAGUCUUUUCCACUACAACCUCAUUUUUCUUCUCAUCAAUCUUAAAGAUCACAUAUCGGAACACCUUCUUCCUCUGCAGCUCCAUGUAUGUGCUUUUGCUGUGUUCAGCCACUCCCAUGCCAGAUGAUGCAUUUGCCUGAAAACCAGAAACAAAUGUUUGAUGUUUAAUGCUUACUCCAACAAAAAUGGACUAGUGUUAUCUUUCAAUUUUAAAAACCACUACAUUUUUGACAAAGCAGAACAAACUGCCAUCAAUGAACCCUAAAUAACAGGUCCACGAUGCAAAAGUACCUGAUACAACAUGGAAACUUUCACAAAAUUUAACAAUGUUGUAAUAUAAUAUUUUCCAACACAAUCAUAAAUUCUUAACUCCAUGACUAUUCACAGAUGCCAUAUGGAAAUUGUGGCUAAACGAACCAAUCCAACAUAAUUUAAAAGCCUAAUCCAUUGGCAAAAAAAACCAAUCCAACAUAAUUCAAAAGCCUAAUCCUGGUUCCAAUUCCAGGGCCCAUUUAUUUACAGCAAGAUGCAGUUGUAGCAUUACAAUUGGAGACCAAGAUGCACAAAAAAAGGACCAAAAAAGGCAAACUUUUACUUCAACUUAGCUUGGAUAGACCUAGAAAGACACUAUUAUGAGUACAAAAUCAAAAUCCUAUUUUCCUUCAAGCUGUGUUCUUGUGAGUAACUUCACUUCAACUAAGCUCAAUUGGAUAGCAGCAAAGUACCAACCUUGACUUAACACUCACAUCACAUUUUAAUUAAUGAAAUCGUAACAGAAAUCUAAUCUUAUAAUCCAUUUUUUCAAGAACCCAAAAAGGAAAAAAAAUUGAAACAACUACAAUUAAAAAGCUAAGAUCUAGCUAACCACGAAAGAUUCAGUCUUUACACACACACAGACACGAGAAAAGAAAUAACUUACAACAAAAUUGAAAGCUACCCAUAUAAUUAAAACCUUAACUUUGUCUAAGGGUCAACAUGGAAAAAGAAAAAAACAUAUCUUUUUAAGCUAAAACAAAGAGAAUAAAAAGAACCCAAACUAAAUUAGAUCUAAGAGAAUCGAAAGGAAACAAAAAACAGUGACUUACUCUUCUAAAAGCCAUGGCUGCUUCAAAUGAAGAAAUAAAGUGGGUAUUUUUGGAGAGAAGGGGACAAAGAGAGAGUUCUUAUGGAGAGAAAAUAAGGAGAAAAAGCAGCCACCAGAAAGAAGAAAAACUACGAAACUAUUUUGAAUACUUAACAAAAGGAAUUUUAUUUUUCUUUCUGAGAAAAAUAAAAUGAAAAAAAGAAAAAGAAAAAGAUCCGUGUUUUGAGAGGAAAGGGAAGGGGCGCGUCGUGUUCGAUUCUUUUCUGACAAUGACGGGCUUCAUCAUCCUCUUUCGCUGACAUGGCUAUUUUUUAUUGAUCCAUUUUCUGUAGCAGUAAAAAAAUUUGUUUUUUAUAAUUUUUUUAUUGAUUUUCUAUUUUUUGGUAGACAUAAAUUUUUUUUGGUGUAAAAUAUGACCUGAUAAAUAGAUUUUAUUAUUUUUGAAUUUAUAAUAUUUUUAUUUGAAAUUCUAAAGUGUGAUCUUUUUAUCAGGUCAAAUGUUAUAUAAACAAAAAAGAAAAUUAGUGCUUAAUUUUAAUCCCACAAUUAAAAUUUAAUCACCAAGACCAAGACCAAGACUAUUUCACCCAAAAGGAGAUCACUAAAAUUUGUCUUGGCGAAGCAAAGCAAAGACCCACAACCCACGCAUCAAGACAUGUCCUUGUCCACGUCACUAUAUUAUUCCAUGUUUAAAGUUAUAAAGGAAAAAACAAGGACAAAUCCUUGUCCAUGUCACCAUAUUAUCUUUAUAUUACGAGUUGAUACUUUCGAUUUAAAAUAUAUAUUUAUUCAAUAAAAUAUAAUUCGUACUUAUAAAUUCAAAAUCACUUUCUUUCACUCAUAUAAGUGAGGGAUGCACCUUGGUUCGGAUUUAAAUUAAAUAAUUUUUUAUAAAAUUUAUCACGAAUUUACAUUUUUAAUUAAAAAAACAACAUUUUAUUUUAAAAAAUCAUGACUUGAGUGAAAAAUUUAUAACGUGAAAUGAAAUUAUAAGCAAUUAUGAGUAUGAAAAUGAUGGAUUUUUAAUUACAGUUUUUAGCAUUAUACCAGGGAAGAAAAAAAAGUUCUCGAUAUUGAAUUUGAAAAGCCAGCAACAACAAUUGUCAAAAAUAAAAAUCCACUCCCCUUUAAUUGAAUUUGAAAUGGACCCAGCGUGAUGCAGGCCCAAAACCAAAAAUGGCUUUAAUUGGGCCACUUGGCCCAAUUAAACGGAGUUUAAUUCGUUUAGAACAAAGUUUAAAACUUUCUGCCGAGCGGAGCGGAGUUGUUCCGUGCCCUAGCUCGCUUUUUACCAUAGAAUCCGGCGAGUGUGUAUUUUUUUUUUCAAAAUUCCAAAUAGAUUGGAUUCAAAUCGCACGAGAACAUGGAAUCCCGACGUUAAUUGUCGAACAGCAAGUUGUAUUCUUUUUACGAAAAAUGUCGUUAGGGCAGAGAGGUUCGGCGAAUCCAGCGGCCAUGCUUGCUUCUCUCAUGACCAAAAGAGAUAAGCUUCAAGACGACCUUCGCAACAUCGAAAAGCAGGUACCUUUUUUUUCCCCCUUUUAAACGUCGGUGAAGUUUACUUUUUUUUUUUUAUUUUGUGUUUGUAAUGGUAAAGAAGUGACAACUAUGAGGAAUUACCAUUAAAUUGGUCAAUUUAAUUGAUAUUCUUGUUGUAGGUUUACGAGUUAGAGACUAAUUAUUUACAAGAUUCGAGCCAUUUCGGGCAUGUUUUGAAAGGAUUCGAAGGCUUUCUUUCUUCAUCCAAGAACACAGCAAAGUAGCUUUUUUUUACCAUAUUUUGUUUUAUUUACUGCUGGUAAUUUGAUGUCUAAUUUUGUUUUAAGCAUUGAAUUGUUAGCUUGCACAUUUUAAAUAUCUGGCUGUAUGUACUUAAUUAUCUUUAUGAAUCAGAACUUUUUAAAAGAAAUUUUGGGUUUGAUAGCAAAUUAGUGACAAAUUGUUACAUAAGCUCACGUUAUCUUUUUAGUGGAUAGAAUGAACAAAUCAAGUUAUGACACAUCAUUAAAAUUUGCCAUGUCAGCAUCCGUCACAAUAGUUUUUCAUAUUAAUGAAAACUGUGGAUCUGUUUAUGUUGAUGUAAAAAUUUUAGUAAAGUGUCUGUAUUGUAAUUAUUUGUGAACGAAUAAAUGGUGUAGGAGGAAGAGUUUAUAUAGUAUUUCUCCAAAUUAUUGGAUUCUAAGUAGCGCACAAGUGGCAAUCACACCAUACAUUUUGUAUUUAAGUACUGCUGGUAAUUAUGUUAAGUAUUUCAUGUUCGUUUUUUUGUGACGGAAAAUUCAUGUAAAUUUAUUUCUGUAGCUUGAAGAGGUAUAGGAAGUUUCAGCCAGAAGAUAGACUGUUCUCAUUGUCAUCAGUCACGUCACCAGCGGUAUGUGAUAGUAUAAGCUUCAGUAUAUACGCAUAACUAAAUUGUACCACUUUGUAGCGUGUUCUUUUUCUUUUAUUCCUGUUUAUUUUUUCUCACGGAUAGAGGUGACACUUGAUGUGUUUUCAGCUAGAUGGUUAGAGUUAAUAAACAUGGCGAGCAUUUAAUUAGGCUUAAUGUCUCUGUGAUCUUGUUUAUCGGAAUUCAGGUUUCAAAUAAGUUUCCCAACAGAUUAGAUCUCUGAGGAAAUAUUUAGCUACUACUAUAUGUAUUGAGCUUAGAAAGGCUGGCACACUUUAGCUUGACAUUUAAUAUACUGCUAUUUUUAACUGUCAUUCUUACAUAGAAUAAGCUAUUUGAGCUAAAGUGAGUUGACAGGCAGUACUUGGUCUUGUUAACUUCCUGAAUGGCAUCUUCUGGGCCAUCCCAUAUUAGUAUGUGAUGAUAUCAAGUAGUUGCCUGUAGGGUCAUAAGGAGAACUUGUGGCCUAUUUAUCAUAGCAAACAUGCAUGCUGAGAGGGUAAACUGAAAUUCUUUAUUAGGUUUCUUUCAGCUCUUGACUUGAUUAACCUAGAAGCAUUAAGGAGUUUUUUCAAUAAUAUACCCUUUUGAUGAAUGAUAGGGUCUACUUUAUUUCUGCUUCUAUCCAAUUUUGGGAAUCUAUGAUCAUAUUUUGAAUGAGAGCAUUGCACUGAAGCUGACAGAAUUUAAUGUCAGUAGUGGUGAUGCUCACCUUCAGGUCUACUUGUUGCAUAUCUUUUUGAAGAGAAUUUAGGAUGCAUGUUGUCUCAAAAUAAGCCAUUAUUUACAUGAGUUGGUGAAUGGAAUUGUCAUUGUUUAUAAUAAUACUAGUAAGUUGUUAUCUUUAGUGUUAUUUGACUAUUUCUUUAGUCUCACCAUGUUUGUGCAAUUGUGCUGCACCUUCCAUUUGUUUUAGCAGAAAUCAAUAGUACAAAAUGGUCAUGACAAGUCUGUGUCUCAAAAGUACAUGUAAUUGAGAUAGUUAUUCUGAUUCAACAAGACUGGUUUGUUCACUUUGCUUCUUUUUCAGGCUGAAGAACUUGGAGUUCGACAAGAUGGUAAACCUUGUUCAUUAUUUUACUAAUGUUUUCCCUCAUAAAGCUAUUUUUUACAUCCUUUGAUUUUUCAUCCUCUCUGUCGCAGAUGGAAGAUCUGAUUUUGGUCCAGGUCGGUCUAAGGGUGGAGGCUUAGCUGCCAAUGGCCAGUGAGUGUGCUAAUAAUUGUUAUUAUUUGAGUUCUUUAGGCAUUUAAUUUUGAAGAAAAACAAGGAAAUAAAGCAACACGGUCCAGAUUGAGUUGGCUUUACUCAAUCAAGUGAAACUUUUACACAUCAGUUCAUAACAUAGACCUAUUACUUAUUUAAUUUAUAGAGGGAAACCGAAGAAGGGUAGAACUGCCUCAGCAGCAAGAGAUGGAAAGAGAAUCAGGCCAUCAAGUGAACCAGAUUUUGAUGAUGAAGAUGAUCCUGAUAUGGGCUUGAGAUAACUUAAUAAGAACUUGUCAUAUAACUUUAGAUGUAAGUGUAUUCUGUAACAAUAUAGGGGAAUUCUUGAUAUUUAAUCUAGGUGGUCCAGCAUUUAGGUGAUGCUGAAAGCAUCCUCUUUAGGAUGGCUAUAUUGCAUGUGUUAGAAUGUAGUGAAUCCAGAGGUGUCAUGUAUAAUGUAUUGUAUAACUUCCCUCCUUUCUGUAUCUUUUGAUUGUUUCCAUUGUAUUAUGUUCUUUACAUUGACAUUGCCUAGAGUUGUGUAAACUCUGGAAAAAAAAAUCCAGUUAAGCUUCCAAUUACAACAUAGUUCUUGCAAUAUUGUACCCAUCUUCUGGUAUGGCUUGAAAAUAUUGGAGUUGAGGAGCCUUGGCUGGUUCAGGUUGUUGUUUAAGCUGAUAGCACAAUGCUUUACGGCUUCAAUGAAAGCCUAGUUUCUUCCCUGUAUUAAUUGAUAGCUCUUUGGCAGCCGGGAUAUAAAGCAAAACACAAAACAAAUUCAAAGCACACUCGUGGGAAUUGACCUAGCAACUCAAUUCUAGUUCGGGGACAAAAGUUGGGGUCGGAAAUAAGUUAGUUUCUAGGCCAGCCCACUAUCUACGUCUGGGGUUAAACUACUGGACUAGCAGGGCCAUUAUCUUCUUCUUUUGUCUAAUUCUUCUUGGAUUCCAUAAUCCCAUAUGAAUAACUUGGUGUAAAAAGAACAUGAUACAUCAAAAAUAAGUUGGAGGAAUGAAGCUAACCCAUUGUUAACUUAUCUUUAUUUUGUUUACAAUUCUUUGCACCAAGCCCAACCUCGGCAGACAUAGCUUAAACUUGAAAAGAAAAGGGACAUGAAAAGGUCUACGAAAGGCUGCAAUACAAUUCCCAGUCCUGGGACCAUGCCAAGCCUACAGAGAAGAAAAUUCGAAGGAAACAGAAACGUAGUUUGACUGUUUUCCCUAUUCUUUAAUCGAGUAUUUAUUGGGAAACAUGGUGGAGUAAAUACAACUGGCUCGGCGGUCGCUCAUAUGUUUCUAGAUUGAAAAUUUCUUGGAGAAGAAUUGAAGCACAACACCUUUUUGAAUUAAAGAGAGAAUCUACGCUCAUCAUAUUGACCUUAGCCUUCGUGUGCUUUGAUUCAGAAUUCUCAUUCAAGGAAAAAUCUAGAUGUUCAAGUUAAAAUUUUCAACUAUAUCAAGCUUUUAAUUAUUUAGUUUUCGGGGUCUUAUGUUCAGAUCUUCUUAAGCCAAGUUUAUGCAUAAGAGACGAGACUAGUCCGAGAGCAUCAGCUAGCAAAGCACUGGAGAAGAAGGGUUAACAGCACAGCCUCAGAU